rnacentral:lncRNA from 1 species
AAGAGAAGGAGGUGUGCCCAUCCCACCGGCGACCUCUGUCCAACCAGAGACACCGGAAAAUCUAUUGGAAGCGCUAUGGGGCGCUUCCAUUGUGGAAGAACACCGUAUCCUUAUGGGUACGGUGAUUUAGAAGGUUCAGUCCAUUAAAAGCAGACUGACCGAAGCCUGCAGCGGCCUGCUAACAGGUUUUGAGGUAAGCGGCAUUUAACCGAGAAAAUCCCCAUAUAGACAGUAGCCCCUGAGACACUGUCCGGUGUUCGGAAAGAAAAGCCGAACAGAGGAUCAAUUAAAUUUCGCAGGAAACUAACCAAACUAUGUCUAAUGUGAAUAAGCAGGCGUCGCUGCUGGCCGCGAAUUCUCACACUGCCGAAGUCUCCGGACUAAAGCAGAAACUGGAGCGGGCCGAAGAAGAGCUCGGCCAGGCGAGGAAGCAGCUCCAAGAAAAACAAGGUAUGUGAGAACCCAUUAUGUAUUUGAAAAAAGUGAAAUGAUAUGCAUUGACCGAAGUGUCAUGAUAUGUAUAGAAGCGACGAUCGAGGCCGAGGCCCUAAGGAAGGCCCUGGCCGAAGCCGAGGGGAAAGCUGUCAAGGAGAAGGCUGCCCGUAAGAAGCUCAAGGCACGGGUCAACGAGGUCCAGCAAGAGAUCCAAGAUGCUGUCAAGAAGUAUGAGGCAUUGGAGGGAGAUGUUUCGGGUCAAGAGGCCAAACUCUCAAAGGCUCGCCAAAGUGCGGAAGCGGCCUGGGUUGAAGCCCAGGGUGCCCUCCAAGAGAUCCAGGAGGCCAAGAAGAUCGCAGCGGGUAAGGCAUUUAGUAUGCAAAGCAAGCAUGUGAAGAAGAAAUAUCUCAUACUAACCAGUGUUCGGAGUUCUCCAGGGCAUUUGCAGAUCUGCCGCGCAGAGUGUCCGACGUCGCGGAGUUCUUCCGAGCCGAAGAAGGGAGCUCCAAGGAGAAAUUGUUCUGGUCACAGUAUCUUGCGCCAGAGCAUCUCGUGCCCUUCACCGAUCAGCUAAAACAGUUGGUGAAGCUGCAUAGGGUGGCCAAACUAGCCAUGAAGGAUUUGAUAAUCCGGCUGUGGCCAGCCGAAGCUAUGCCCAGCAGCUACUUCGGGCUUAUGAAGCGGCUGGUGAACGCUUGUCCUCGAUUGGACGCCGUCAAGCGAUCAGCCUGUAUUGAAGGUGCGCGCAUGGCCUUCGCCCGUUGCAAGAUGUGGUGGGCAAAGAUGGACGCCGUCGAGCUGACCAAGGGGCCGCCAGAGGGCAAGGAGCACCGCACACCCAAGCGCUACUUUGCAGACGUCCUAGAGGGGUCUCGCAUUGUAGCAACACAAUGUGGGCAAGACAUUAUUUUUGAAUGAGUACAUUCAUGUUGUCUUUGCCUUGUAUGAUGAAACAAAACUUUUAUGUAAUAUAAUGCUGUAAAAAAAUUCUCCUCCUGUGCAGCCGUUUUAUGUGAAAUCUAAGAGUUGGCCAGUCAUCGGCUUCUGCCCCCACGUAGGAAAUACGGGGGUGUUUGGGAUGCAAUCUAAACACUCUUGAUCCAAUUGUUUGGUCCUUGAAGGAGGUGUUUAGCGUGACGAACUAGGCAAUCGGACUAUGCGUCUUUAGCACUCUCACUUAACCAUAGGAGUUCGACAAUAGAAAUAUAUGUGCAACCCCUAGUAUCCGGACUAGGAUGCUGCAGACACUUGAUCGGGUAAGUACCAAUCCCUCGCAUAAUGCGGAAAAAAUCUCUAAGGAUUUGAGACCUUCGAAGAGCUGAUCGGCUCUCGCCGCAUCAUGACAGUCAGUUUUCAGCUUUCUCUACUGAGGUGCUCAUUUCGGUAAACCAAUGCACAAUCGCAGUUGAUCUCCCUUUACUACCCUAGCCGAUAUAGCGGAACGUAAUGUAGCAAGCACAGGAGCCGGGCAACGCAACUAUUGACCAAAGACAUGAUUCGGAGCCAAUGCAUAUAUUGCUAAAUUCGGGGUGUCAAACUGUACUGUAAAAGUGUUUGGACUUUUGUUGCCAUGUUGUGGGGCGCUAUGAAGCCCCUGGCAAAUUGAAACGCACCUGAGUGUACAGGUCUUAUCUGAUAAAAUUACCAGAAAGGAAAAGGCAAAAAGAAAGAAAAAGGAAGAACCAGUGGUAAGCUAGAGCCGUGAAAAUUUAGGCCGCAAACUAUUUCUAUUAUAAUUUCAUUGGUGCGUUAAAGCGCAUUUAUACAAGUAAUGCAAUAAGUGGAAAGGCUAUUUACUAUGCCUUCACCAAGAGAGAGCUGCGUGUGGGUCCUGAAGAUAGGUAAAGGGAUCGUUAAAGAGACCACCUAAGAGUUUCCUAGUACGUCCAUGCUUCUUGUUGUCUUGGUGUUUUUUUCCUUCGAAAAGAAUCGAUGGUCAAGCCGCCAGGAAAGGCCUAAAAAGGGAAAAACAAAAGAAAAAGGGAAAUAGUGAAAGUAUGAGUGUCCGGGAUGGUCGAGCCGUAUUGCGGAUCACAAGCUGAUUAUGCCUCAAUCCGGGUCCAUGGUAUUUUUAGUGUGUAAUUAUGUAUGCGCGAUAUGAUGGCCGCCACUUGGCCAGGACAGGGACAGAGGCCAAAUUGCUAGCCGAGCUCCUGACAAGCCGAGCUGUCCUUCUGCGGAAUGGUUCGGACUCUCUUGACAGUGUCCGAGGGAUCGGCCGCCAAAUUGAGGUUCUGCUUGACAAGGCCGCCCUGUACCUCUGCCGCUAAUGCAGCGGUGUGCUCCUCGGUGCGGAGGGAGCGUUCUGUAUUUCCAUUGACUGUUAUGACGUCGUGCGGUCCGGGCAUCUUAAGCUUGAGAUAAGCAUAGUGUGGUACCACAUUGAAUCGAGCAAGUGUGGUUCGUCCGAGCAGUGCAUGGUAGCCGCUGUGAAAGGGGAUGAUAUCGAAGAUUAACUCCUCACUUCGGAAGUUGUCCGGAGACCCGAAGACAACCUCUAGUGUGAUUGAGCCCGUGCAGCGGGCCUCUACGCCCGGUAUGACUCCUUUAAAGGUAGUCUUUGUGGGCUUGAUCCGCGAUGGGUUGAUGCCCAUUUUGCGCAUUGUAUCCUGAUAGAGCAAAUUGAGGCUACUGCCACCGUCCAUCAGGACUCGCGUCAGGUGGAACCCAUCAAUUAUUGGGUCCAGGACCAGUGCGGCUGAACUGCCAUGACGGAUACUGGUCGGAAGAUCUUGGCGAUCAAAAGUGAUCGGGCAUGACGACCAUGGAUUAAAUUUUGGGGCGACUGGCUCUAUCGCGUAGACGUCCCUGAGCGCGCGCUUGCGCUCCCUCUUGGGGAUGUGGGUAGCGUAUAUCAUGUUUACCGUUUUGACCUAAGGAGGGAACUUCUUUUGUCCCCCUGUGUUCGGCGUCUAGGGCUCCUCGUCGUUGUCUUUGCUUUGCGAUCCCUUAUCCUUGUUUUCGGCAUUUAACUUGUCGUCCUGUUUAAAAACCCAACAAUCUCUAUUGGUAUGAUUGGGUGGUUUGUCUGGGGUGCCAUGAAUCUGGCAUGGAGGAUCGAGUAUGUGGUCCAGGCUAGAUGAGCCCGAAUUGUUCUUUUUGAACGGCUUCUUCCGCUGACCAGACUUAGAGCCACUGAAUCCGGCAUUGACCGCCGUAUCCUCGGUGUUGUCAUUGUUAUUUCGACACUUGUACCUGUUGCGUCGAGACUUGUCGUUGCUAUUUUUAGCUUCAGGGGUGCUGGCGUCUCUUGCAUUGUUUUUGCUACAAGCCAGCCAACUAUCCUCGCCCGUGCAAAAGCGUGUCAUGAGUGUCGUGAGGGCCGCCAUGGACUUUGGCUUCUGUUGGCCGAGGUGGCGGGCGAGCCAUUCAUCGCAGAUGUUGUGUUUAAAGGCCGCUAGGGCUUCGGCAUCCGAAUAGUCGACUAUCUGGUUCUUUUUAGUUAGGAACCUGGUCCAGAAUUUCCUGGUGGACUCUCGGGUUGUUGAACUAUAUGGCUUAAGUCAUCGGUGUCCGGAGGUCGAACGUAUGUACCUUGGAAGUUAUCAAGGAAGGCUUCUUCCAAGUCCUCCCACCUGGCGAUGGAGUUUUCGGGCAGGCUGCUCAACCAGUGUCGUGCUAGCCCUUUGAGUUUCAGGGGGAGGUAUUUAAUGUGAUGAAGGUCAUCGUCGUGGGCCAUAUGAAUGUGGAGAAUGAAGUCUUUGAUCCAUACCGCGGGGUCUAUGGUGCCAUCAUAUGAUUCUAUAUUCACAGGUUUGAAACCUUCUGGGAAUUCAUGUUCCAUGACUUCGUCGGUGAAGCAAUGAGGGUGUGCAGCGCCUCUAUAUUGGGCCGUAUCACGACAUAGCUCUGAUGGGGUCCGUCUGCAGCUUUCAGCCCGUGCAUGACUAGGUUUGUCACGUCUGAACAGCUGGCCGUUGUCGCAUGUCGGGGCACGUCCUCGCGAUCCGUAGACCGAUUUGGUAUGUCCUGCUUUAUUGUUCAGGUCAUGUCGAAGGUCAUAUGUAUGACCGUGAGCUGAUUUACCUCUGACUUUGCGAUGAGGCAGGGCGGGCUGGUGUUUGGCUUGAGUUGACGCUUUGUCCCGGCCACGUGGUGGUCGGUCAGCCACAUUGUGCGAUGGUGGUAUGUGUUCCGGUGCCUCUUCGUCGAACUGAGGUAGUAAUUUGAGCUUCGGGUAGCUUUUGACCGGGCACUUGAGGUCGUAUUCUUCGGCUGCUAGGACGUCAUUCCAUUUAUUGUUGAGCAGAUCUUGGUCAGCUUGAAGAUGUUGCUGCUUCUUUUUCAGGCUCCUUGCAGUGGCUAUUAGCUGACGCUUGAAGCACUCCUGCUCAAGAGGUUCCUCAGGCACGAUGAAAUCCUUGACGCCGAGGCUCGCCUCAUCCUCAGAGAGCGGAAGAUAAUUACUGUCCUCCGAGUCCUCGUGUGUGGCAUGUUUACCAGGGCUAACCUGCCCAUCUUCCCGUUCAUCCUGUUCGGUAGCUGCGUCAACGGGGUCUUCGUUGUCUUCGGCACCUUCCGGAGUGUUAUCUUCUCCUGUGCCGCUGUUGCUAUCUUUACUGCAGCGUGACUUAGAGCGGCGCCGCUGAUGCCGGCAUUUCGAUUGUAUCUCAGGAGGUUUAUCCUCAACUGGAUCUUCUUUGUCAUCGCCGCUGUUCUCCUUUCCUUUGGUGCAUCCACCAUGUAUACAUCGUAUGAGGAAGUGGCCGUCCAACGUCCGGUGAACGGUGGGUCCUGGGCCUCUUCUUCUCCGGCGUCGUCGUCCAUAUCGUCGAUGUCAUCGGAGCCAUAAUCAAGCAUGUCAGUUAAGUCUUCGAUAGUGGAUAUAAAGUGGGUGGCGGGUGGGGAGCAAAAUUUCCUAUCAUCAGCUUCUAGUUCAAACCGGAUAUAGUUCGGCUAUGAAUCCCCCGCUAAGGAUAGAUUUUUUAAUGAAUUCAGCACAUCGCCCAAGGGUGAGUGCCGGAAGAUGUCCACGGCGCUGAAUUCGGCAAUCGAUAACCGAUCAUGCUCGACCUGCGCGGACACGCGUAGUACGGAACUUAUAGCCGGAAAUGAGCCCGAAGUUCCGGUGACACAGACAUUACCAGAGGUAGGUUUGUGUGCGGCUCCAACACCGUGGAGUCUGCGGCUUCCGUGGUGGGGUUAAGCUUCCUGUCCUCGGAUGGCGCGACCUGCUCCGGAUCUAAGGCCAGAGCGGUUACAGGUGCAAUUUCCUGGGUAUGGUCCGAUGACAAAUCUAAGUCAUGUUCAUCGAGGUAACGGGGAUCGAAUGCCGUGGUAUCGAAACCGUCGAAGAUCAAGUCUCCGAGGAUAUCCGUGACGUAGUUCAAGCUCCCGAAUUUGACCUGACGGCCAGGGGCGUAGCUGUCAAUCUGCUCCAGAUGGCCAAGCGAGUUGGCCUGCAGUGCGAAGCCACCGAACAUGAAGAUCUGUCCGGGGAGGAAGACCUCCCCUUGGACAACGCCGUUGUAGAUGAUUGAAGGAGCCAUCAAACCUUUUGAGGACGGCACAGUGGAACUCUCGAUGAAAGCACCAAUGUUGGUGUCAAAACCGGCGGAUCUCGGGUAGGGGGUCCCGAACUGUGCGUCUAGGAUCGAUGGUAACAGGAGACGGGGAACACAAUGUUUUAUCUAGGUUCGGGCCCUCUCUAUGGAGGUAAUACCCUACGUCCUGCUUGAUUGAUCUUGAUGAGUAUUAGUAUUACAAGAGUUGAUCUACCACGAGAUCGUAAUGACUAAACCCUAAAAGUCUAGUCUGGCUAUGAUUAUGAGGAUUCGACCUAUCUAUGGACCUAGCCCUCCGUUUUACAUAGACACGGGAGGGACCUAGGGUUACACAAGGUCGGUUCCAGAGAAAGGAAUCUUCAUAGUUGGUCGCCAAGCUUGCCUUCCACGUCAUGGAGAGUCCUAUCCGGACACGGGUAGAGUCUUCGGUCUUUGUACCGUUACGACCCAUUAGUCCGGCCCAUAUCCAAUAGAUCGGACACCCGAUGACCCCUUAGUCCAGGACUCCCUCAAGGGGCGAGAGCCCCUCCGAGAUUGGAUCUCCCUCUCUGUUAUCUUCUAUUUUGUGUUCCCCAGAUCUUGCCAAAAACCGUUUCUUAUAUUCCUAGAGAUCCGUAACUCCGAUUGCGCUGAGAUUUUAACACAAUUUUUUCCGGAUACAAGCUUCCUUGCGCCCAAAGUAGAGGUCCAACCGACGUACGAGGUGGGCACAACCCACCACCGCGUGCCAGGGGCCUCUAGCGUGCCUUGGUGUAUUGUGCCCUGUGUGGGCCUCCAUUUGCGGUGAUUCCAACUCCCAAAAAUCACAAAUAUUCCAAAAUAAUUCUCCGUAAAAUUUCAUUGCAUUUGGACUUCGUUUGAUAUGGAUACUCUGCGAUACAAAAAACAUGCAGAAAACAGGAACUGGCAAUUGGCACUGGAUCAAUAGGUUAGUCCAAUAAAUCAUAUAAAAAGUUGCCAAAAGUAUAUAAAACUUGUAUAAUAUUGGCAUGAAACAAUCAAAAAUUAUAGAUACGACGGAGACGUAUCAACAUCCGCAAGCUUAAUUCCAUCUCGUCCUCGAGCAGGUAAAUGAUAAAAAAAGAUAAUUUUUGAUGUCGAAUGCUACCUAGCAUAAACUUGAUCAUAUAUCUAAUCAUGGCAUGAAUAUUAAGACAUAAGUGAUUCAAAGCAAUAGUCUAUAAUUUGACAUAAAGAUAUCAAUACUCAGGCAUCCCAACAAACAAUCAUGUAUUCCAAAAUAUCAACGCUAAAGAAAGUUGUCCCUACAAAAUCAUAUAGUCUUGUCAUGCUCUGCCUUUUUAACACAAAGUAUUUAUCAUGCACAACCCCGAUGACAAGCCGAGCAAUUGGUUCAUACUUUUUAACGCGCUUCAGCUUUUUCAACUCUCACGCAAUACAUGAGCACAAGCCAUGGAUAUAGCACUAUGGGUAGAAUAGAGUAUGAUGAUAGAGGUAAGUAUAAAGAAGAAAAAAAGUAAGAAAGUCUCACAUCGAUGCGGCUAACCAAUGGGCUAUGGAGAUGCCCAUCAAUUGAUAUCAACGUGAGGAGUAGGGAUUGCCAUGCAACGAAUGCACUAAGAGCUAUAAGUGUAUGAAAGCUCAUUAUGAAAACUAAAUGGGUGUGCAUCUAAUCCUAUAAUGAAAUAUUCCCACUAGUAUAUGAAAGUGACAACAUAGGAGAUUCUCCAAAUGAAAAACAUGGUGCUACUUCGAAGCACAAGUGUGGUAAAGGAUACUAACAAUGCCCCUUCUCUCUUUCUUUUUUUUCUUUUUCUCUUUUUCUUUUUUUUCUUUUUUUCUCUCUCACUGUCCGGAGUCUCAUCCCGACUUGUGGGGAAUCAUAGUCUCCAUCAUCCUUUCCUCACUGGGGCACUGCUCCAAAAAUGAUUAAUGAUGAUCAUCACACUUCUAUUUACUUAUAACUCAAAAGAAAUAAAAAUUACAACUCGAUACCUAUGACAAAAUAUGACUCUAUAUGAAUGCCUCUGGCAUGUACCAGGAUGUGCAAUGAUCUAGCGUAACAUGUAUGAAAAAUGAUGAACGGUGGCUGAGCCACAACUACUAUGUUAGCUAUAUGAUCAUGCAAAGCAAUAAGACAAUGAAUGCUCAAGUCAUCAAACAGAAGUGGUGGAAGUUGCAUGGCAAUAUAUCUUGGAAUGUCCAUGAAAAAGCCAUAAUAGGUAGGUAUGGUGGCUAUUUUGAGGAAGAUAUAAUAAGGCUUAUGUGUGAUAGAGCGUAUCAUAUCACGAUGUUUGCAUGCACCUGCGAAGUUUGCACCAUUCCUUGAUGUGAGAAAGGGAAAUGCACGGUACCGUAUAGGCUAGCAAAUUGCGGAAAGGUAAGAGUGCGUAUAAUCCAUGGACUCACAUUAGUCAUAAAGAACUCAUAUACUUAUUGCAAAAGUUUAUUAGCCCUCGAAGCAAAGUACUACUACGCAUGCCCCUAGGGGGAUAGAUUGGUAGGAAACGACCAUCGCCCGUCCCCGACUGCCACUCAUAAGGAAGACAAUCAAUAAUAAAGCAUGCUCCAACAUCAUAGCAUAACGACAGACUACACGUGCAUGCUUCGGGAAUCACAAACCUUAACACCAAUAUUCUUACUAAACACAAUCAUUUACUAGUACCUCCCACAUAUUAUCAUCUCUAUAUCGCAAAACUAUUGCAAGGAAUCAAACCUAUCAUAUUCAGUGAUCCAUAAGUAUAUGUAGGAUUUUAUGACUAACCAUGCAAUUGACCAAUUCCUUUUGACUCUCUAAAUAGAUAUAAGUGAAGCAUGAGAGCUUAAUUCUUUCUACAAAAGACCAUGCUCUAACAAAUAUAAGUGAAGCAAAAGAGCAUUCUUCAAACAAUGAUUUUCCAUGUGAAGAGAAAUAGGCAAUCCAAACUUCAAAUGAUAUAAGUGAAGCACAUGAAGCAUUCUAUAAAGCCACACUCAAAAGAUAUAAGUGAAGUGCAAUGAUCAUUCUAUAAAUCAACCAUGGACUAUCUCAUACCAUCAUGGUGCAUAAAAGAAAAAUGAAAACUGAAAGCAAAAGACGCUCCAAGGUUUGCACAUAUCACAUGAACGAAACGAAGACGAAAACAUACUGAUACUUGUUGAAGAAAGAUGGGAUGUGAGGGAGUCCUGGAUUAGGGGGUAUCCAGACAGCCGGACUAUAUCCUUUGGCCGGAUUGUUGGACUAUGAAGAUACAAGAUUGAAGACUAUGUCUCGUGUCCGGAUAGGACUCUACUUGGCGUGGAAGGCAAGCUAGGCAAUACGGAUAUGUAUAUCUCCUCCUUUGUAACCGACCUUGUGUAACCCUAGCCCCCUCCGGUGUCUAUAUAAACCGGAGGGUUUUAGUCCGUAGGACGACAUACAAUCAUACCAUAGGCUAGCUUCUAGGGUUUAGCCUCUCCGAUCUCGUGGUAGAUCAACUCUUGUGAUACUCAUAUCAUCAAGAAUAAAUCAAGCAGGACGUAGGGUUUUACCUCCAUCAAGAGGGCCCGAACCUGGGUAAAACAUCGUGUCCCCUGCCUCCUGUUACCAUCCGCCUUAGAUGCAUAGUUCGGGACCCCCUACCCGAGAUCCGCCGGUUUUGACACCGACAUUGGUGCUUUCAUUGAGAGUUCCUCUGUGUCGUCGCCGUUAGGCUUGAUGGCUCCUACUAUCAUCGAUAGCGAUGCAGUCCAGGGUGACACUUUUCUCUCCGGACAGAUCUUUGUGUUCGGCAGCUUCGCACUACGGGCCAACUCGCUUGGCCAUCUGGAGCAGAUCGAAAGCUACGCCCCUAGCCACCAGGUCAGGUUUGGAAGCUUAAAUUACAUGGCCGAUAUCCGCGGAGACUUGAUCUUCGACGGAUUCGAGCCCCUACCUUGUGCGCCACGCGGUCACGAUGAGUAUGAUUUAGCUCUACCAUCGGACCGUAUUCAGGAGAUCGCACCGGCAGCUGCUCCGAGCCUCAAUUCGGAGCGAGUUGCGCCAUCCAUGAACAAGUGGAUAGACCCCGUCACGGAGGCCGUAUCCUCAGCGGCGAUCGAGCCGAAUAUCGACCUUACCCUUCACGAGAGCCGUGUUGCUAAACUGUCGGAUCCUUCUCCGGCCACGGACUCCGAACCGCCUGCGCCCGUUCCUAUCGAAUCCGAUUGGGUGCCGAUCAUGGAGUUUACCUCCGCGGAUAUUUUUCAGCACUCGCCCUUUGGCGACAUACUGAACUCAUUAAGGUCUCUCUCCUUGUUAGGAGAGUCCUGGCCAAACUACGUCCGACGGGAUUGGGAUGCGGAUGACGAAGAAAUUCGCCGCCCAUCCACCACCCACUUAGUAGCACUGUUGACGACUUAACCGACAUGCUCGACUUCGACUCUGAAGACAUCGACGGUAUGGAGGACGAUGCGGGAGACGGAGAGGAACCACUGCCCACAGGGCACUAGACAGCCACCUCAUCAUACAAUAUAUACAUGGUGGACACACCCAAAGAAGGGAAUGGCGACGAGACAACGGAGGAUGACCCCUCCAAGAAGCAACCCAAGCGCCGGCAUCAGCGGCGCCGCUCUAAGUCCCGCCAAGGCAAAAGUGGUGAUACCGGCACAGGAGAUAAUAGCACUCCGGACAGUGCCGAAGAUGGCAACAAUCCCCUCCAGCAAGAUUUAGGGCAGGAGGAUGGAGAAGCCAGCCAUCGAGAGAGAGCGGCAGAUGGAGAGGCGGAGGAUGAUAAUUACAUGCCUCCCUCCGAAGACGAGGCAAGCCUCGACGAUGACGAAUUCGUCGUGCCAGAGGAUCCCGUCGAACAAGAGCACUUCAAGCGCAGGCUUAUAGCCACAACAAAUAGCCUUAAGAAAAAGCAGCAGCAGCUUCAAGCUGAUCAAGAUUUGCUAGCUGACAGAUGGACUGAAGUCCUGGCGGGCGAGGAAUAUAAACUCGAACGCCCCUCCAAGAGUUACCCAAAGUGCAGGUUGCUACCCCGACUGGAGGAGGAAGCACCGAGACCUACAUCCCCGACGUAUGACGCGGCUGAUCGGCCACCUCGUGGCCGCGACAAAGAAACAUUCCAGUCAAAAGAUCAGCCUGCACCCCGACGCCAUUCAAAUAAAAAGGCAUGGGGAAAUACGCCAGACCUGUGAGACAUAUUGGAGGACAAAGCAAAACAUGCAAGAUCGAUCUACGGAUCACGAGGGCGCGCCACUAUACUAGACAAUAAUCGUCAUGCCGGAUACAGUAAAAGUAAGUCCGGUCGGGCCGAACACAACGGGCAAGACUCAUUUGAGCUGUGUCGCGAUAUAGCCCAGUACAGAGGCGCCGCACACCCCUUAUGCUUCACAGAUGAAGUAAUGGAUCAUCAAAUCCCAGAGGGUUUCAAACCCGUAAAUAUAGAAUCAUACGACGACACAACAGAUCCCGCGGUAUGGAUCGAGGAUUUCCUCUUGCACAUCCACAUGGCCCGCGGUGAUGACCUACACGCCAUCAAAUACCUCCCACUCAAACUCAAAGGACCAGCUCGGCAUUGGCUCAACAGCUUUCCAGCAGAGUCCAUUGGCUGUUGGGAAGAUCUGGAAGCCGCAUUCCUCGACAACUUUCAGGGAACUUAUGUGCGACCACCAGAUGCCGAUGACUUGAGCCACAUAAUUCAGCAGCCAGAGGAAUCGGCCAGGCAAUUCUGGACACGGUUCCUAACAAAGAAAAAUCAAAUCAUCGACUGUCCGGAUGCAGAGGCCCUAGCAGCUUUCAAGCACAACAUCCGCGACGAAUGGCUCGCCCGGCACCUUGGCCAGGAAAAGCCGAAAUCUAUGGCAGCCCUCACGACACUCAUGACCCGCUUUUGUGCGGGAGAAGACAGCUGGUUGGUCCGCAGCAAUAACAUAUCAAAGAACCAUGGUACUUCGGAUACCAAGGACGGCAACGGCAGGUCACGUUGCAACAAACAUAAGCGCCGCAUUAGCAGCGACAAUAUCGAGGAUACGGCAGUCAAUGCCGGAUUCAAAGGCUCUAAACCCGGUCAGUGGAAAAAGCCAUUCAAAAGAAGCACUCCGGUCCCGUCCAGUUUGGACCAUAUACUCGAUCGCUCGUGUCAAAUACACGGCACCCCCGACAAGCCAGCCAACCACACUAACAGGAAUUGUUGGGUGUUCAAGCAGGCCGGCAAGUUAAAUGCUGAAAACAAAGAUAAGGGAUCACAUAGCGAUGACGAGGAGGAGCCCCGGCAGCCGAACACCGGAGGACAGAAGAGGUUCCCCCCACAAGUGCGGACGGUGAACAUGAUAUAUGCAACCCACAUCCCCAAGAGGGAGCGGAAGCGUGCGCUUAGGGACGUAUAUGAGUUGGAGCCAGGCGCCCCAAAGUUCAACCCAUGGUCCUCCUGUCCGAUCACCUUCGAUCGCAGAGACCACCCCACUAGUAUCCAUCAUGGCGGAUUCGCCGCACUGGUCCUAGACCCAAUCAUUGACGGAUUUCACCUCACUCGAGUCCUAAUGGAUGGCGGCAGCAGCCUGAACCUGCUUUACCAGGACACAGUGCACAAAAUGGGCAUAGACCCCUCAAGGAUCAAACCAACAAAAACGACCUUUAAAGGCAUCAUACCAUGUGUAGAGGCCCAUUGCACAAGCUCAGUCACACUGGAAGUGGUCUUCGGAUCCCCGGAUAACUUCCGAAGCGAAGAGUUAAUCUUCGGCACAGUCCCGUUCCGCAGUGGCUACCAUGCACUGCUCAGGCGAAUCGCAUUUGCAAGAUUCAAUGCGGUACCGCAUUAUGCAUAAAUCAAGCUUAAGAUGCCAGGACCUUGGGGGGUCAUCACAGUCAAUGGAAACACAGAGAGCUCUCUCCGCACGGAGGAGCACACUGCGGCCCUUGCAGCAGAAGCGCAAAGCAGCCUCUUAAGGCAAUCCACUAGUUCGGCGAUCAAGAACCCGGACACCUUCAAGUGCGCCCGGAGUAAUCGGCAACUAGACCGCCUGGCACGUUCCGAGCUCGCAUAGCAAUGUGGCCCCCACCCCGGUCCCAGCCAAACGGCAAAAUCCGUGCCACGCGUACAUAAUUAGGCAUUAAAAAUACCAGGGGCAUAGGUGGGGAGGGGGCACGACUACGGCACGCUCCAAGACGCGGCUUAAACCGCACUAGGGUCUUCCGGCUUUGUUAUUUUUCUCUUUCAGGACUUUAAUCUCUGGAAACCCUAUCCGGCAGCAUGAUUGCCGAACACAUGAUGCAGCAAUCAAGGAGGCAGAAAGCUACGUCACACCACGGAACUCCGAAGUGGAUUACGAUAACGAAUGAAAUACUUGCUUUAAUACUAUUCCUCAGCUUGCCCUUGGAAGGGACAUGUCAAAUAGUCCUACUUUUUGCUUAUCGCACUACUUGUAUCAUUCUGUUUUAACGCACCUUUUUGAAUAAACAACGCAUAGCAUUAAGACUAUUAUUGCAUUCUUCCUUUAUAUAUAUAUAUAGGUUGUGUACUCCUGGGAGUACGUACUCUCGCUCCUCAUAUACCACAUAUAUGAAUCUUUUAUAGCAUAUUAUUAUUUUUAAUAUACUUCAUUAAUGAUUACUAGAUACCCUAAAAUGGAUUUCAUGAAAAAAAUCGUGUCUGCCUCAUAUUUUCAAAGUUUUACGUAUAUACUGAUUUGUUUGUACGUGAAAAAGGUAUAUUGCAAAAAGUAGGUCGUAAAUGAUAUUUUUUUCAACAAAACUUGUAUUGAGGUAUCUUAGAAUAUUUAAUGAAGUAUAUUGAGAAUGAUAAGGGGUAUAAUCAAUGCAUAUACGAGGUAUAUUGAAGAUGGGAGUACAUACUCCCAAGAGUACAGAAAAUGAGUCAUAUAUAUAUAUAUAUAUAUAUAUAUAUAUAUAUAUAUAUAUAUAUAUAUAUAUAUAUAUAUAUGUUCAUUCAUGACAUCUAGCACCCGUACACUCUGGUACGGCAAUACGCUAGGGGCUUAAGUAUACCCCAUAAUACGGCGUGAGAAAUCUGAACACUUUCGACAGUGCGGCACCCCGAACUUAUAGCAUUAUACGCAUCAGCUCCGAAUCAUGUCUUGGGUCAAUAGUUGGGUUUUCCUGGCUCCCAUGUUUUGGUACCUUACGUUCCACUAUAUCGGCUAAGGUAGCACUGGGAGAAUUACUGCGACUAUGCCCCGGUUCUGCUGGGCUAAGCACCUCAGUAGAGAAAGCUAAAACUGACUGUCAUGAUAAGGCGAGAGACUGGUCGCUGUUCGAGAGGUUUCAAGUCCCUAAAGACUUAUGCCGCUUAGAGUGAGGAGUCGGCCCUGUCCGGCUUAAGGCGUGUAUAGCGCCCCGAAUUCGGCCUUCCGAAUACUAGGGGCUUCGCCGAAAUUUAAAAUUAUAGAAUUCUAUGGCUAAGUUAGAGUAAUAACGCAUUAUAGUCUGAUUGCCUUGUUCGUCGUGCUGAGCACCUCCCUCGAAGGACCCAAACAUGUGAACAAGAGUGCUCAGGUUUAUCCCGAACACCCCAGCACUCGUGCCAUGGGGGCAUAAGCCGACGACUAGCCAUCUCUCAGAUUUGAUAAACAGCUGAACAGAAGGUAAUAUUUUAAAUUCAAACAAGCAUUGCAUAGCGCAUAUGAACAAGUUUUCAUAAUACAGGAUUACACGAGCAAGUUUACUCAAAUAUUACAUCUUUCGUACACUCGUCCGCUACGAGACCGGCACCCUUCAGGACACCCUCAUAGUACAUCUCCGGGUGGCGAUGCUCCUUGCCCGCAGGCGGCUCUUCCUUCACCAGCUUCACGGCGUCCAUCUGGCCCAUUGCACCUUGACACGGGCGAAAGCCCGGCGUGCGCCUUCGAUGCAGACGGGCCGCUUAAUGACGUCCAGCCAUGGGCAGGCAUCCACAAGCCGCCUCACCAGGCCGAAGUAGCUGUUGGGAAGGGCGUCGCCAGGCCACAUCCGAACUAUAAAGCCCUUCAUGGCCUGUUCGGACGCCUUGUGCAGCUCGACCAGUUGCUUCAGCUGGUCGCUCAGAGGCAUCGGGUGUUCGGUCCCAGUAUACUGAGACCAGAACAGCUUCUCCGUUGAUCUUCCCUCCUCGGCCUGGUAAAACUGUGCGGCAUCCGACACGCUGCCGGGCAAAUCUGCGAAUGCUCCUGGAGAGCUCCGGACUCGGGUAAGUAACAAGUAAUUUACUUUCACAUGCUUGCUUUGCAUAUUGAAUGCCUUACCCGCCGCUAUCUUCUUCAUCGCAUCAAUCUCCUGGAGGGCCUUUUGGGCCUCAGCCUUGGCAUUCUUUGCACUCUCGAGGGCCGCGGCAAGCUCGGACUCUCGCAUCUUCAAGUCAAGCUCCAACGCCUCGUGCUUCGUCACGAGAGCGUGAAGCUCUUGCUGCACCUCGCCCACCCGUGCCUCCUGCCUUUCCCGCUCGGUGCGCUCCUUGGCCGCUUUGUUUUCAGCCUCGGAUAGUGCUUGCUUCAGGGUCGCCACCUCAGUCGUGGCCCCUGGAAAAUUUACGAUGAUCCUGUCAUUUUGCAAUCGCAUCCUUUUUAUAUAUAUCCAUAGACUAAGUACUACUUACCUUUGUUCUCCUCGAGCUGCCUCUUGGCAAGGCCGAGCUCUUUCUUGGACCCUUCGAGGUCCUGCUUCAGAACGGCGACCUCCGCAGUCAGUGCGGCAGAGGCCAGCAGUGAAGCCUGCAUACGCACAUAGACAUACUUAUAUUAGACUCCUGCGAUAUUGUUUGAUCCUCUAUUCGGCUUUUCUUUGUGAACACCGAACAGAGCAUCAGGGGCUACUGUCUAUGUGGUAAUAUUCUUCCUAUAUUUCAAAUACUUACCUCAAAGCCUGUUAGAAGGCUGGCACAGGCUUCAGUCAGUCCGCUCCUAGCGGACUGAACCUUCUGGAUCACCACACUCAUAAUAGUGCGGUGCUCUUCGUCGAUGGAAGCGCCGCGAAGCGCUCCCAGCAGAUUGUCCGGCGCCUCUGGAUGGACAGAGGUCACCGGCAUAGGCGUCUUGCCCCUUUUGGAAGGAGGCCGCCUGCCUGAGUCCGGAACCACUGGAGGUUCCGGUGCGGUGUUCGGCUGAGGGCCGAACUCGGAGCCCUUGGGAGCCUUGCUCCCUCUGCUCCCGGAGUCCGAAAGGCCGCCUUGAGGAGCCUCCAGAACUGUCCCCCCUCGACCUGGUGCUUCUUGAGACAAUACCUCGGCGUUGUCCGUAGGGCAAGGGGAGGUGGCGGUCGGAAGUGGAUCACUAUCCAUAUUCGACGAAUCCAGGGAGCCGUCCGACGAGGAUACGUCGAUACGGGCUCAGGGCGGUCUGCAUAAUCAUAAUUCGGCGUUAGGAGAAGCAGUGCGACAAAGGUAUGCUAUGAGUUACUCUGGUAUCCGAAUACUUACGACUUCGUGAUACGUCUCCAACGUAUCUAUAAUUUUUGAUUGCUCCAUGCUAUAUUAUCUACUGUUUUGGACUAUAUUGGGCUUUAUUUUCCACUUUAUAUUAUUUUUGGGACUAACCUAUUAACCGGAGGCCCAGCCCAGAAUUGUUGUUUUUUGCCUAUUUCAGUGUUUCGAAGAAACGGAAUAUCAAACAGAGUCCAAACGGAAUAAAACCUUCGGGAACGUGAUUUUCUCACCGAACGUGAUCCAGGAGACUUGGACCCUACGCCAAGGCAUCAGAGAGGCGGUCACGAGGGUGGGGGCGCCCCCCCCCCCCUAGGGCACGCCCCCUACCUCAUGGGCCCCUCGAUGCUCCACCGACGUACUUCUUCCUCCUAUAUAUACAUAUGUACCCCCAAACGACCAAAAACGAAGCCAAAAACCUAAUUCCACCACCGCAACUUUCUGUAUCCAAGAGAUCCCAUCUUGGGGCCUGUUCCGGAGCUCCGCCGGAAGAGGGUCGUCAUCACGGAGGGCUUCUACAUCACCAUAGCCUCUCCGAUGAAGUGUGAGUAGUUUACCUCAGACCUUCGGGUCCAUAGUUAGUAUCUAGAUGGCUUCUUCUCUCUUUUUGGAUCUCAAUACAAAGUUCUCCCCCUCUCUUGUGGAGAUCUAUUCGAUGUAAUCUUCUUUUUGCGGUGUGUUUGUUGAGACGGAUGAAUUGUUGGUUUAUGAUCAAGUCUAUCUAUGAAUAAUAUUUGAAUCUUCUCUGAAUUCUUUUAUGUAUGAUUGGUUAUCUUUGCAAGUCUCUUCGAAUUAUCCGUUUGGUUUGGCCAACUAGAUUGGUAGUUCUUUCCAUGGGAGAAGUGCUUAGCUUUGGGUUCGAUCUUGCGGUGUCCCUUCCCAGUGACAGAAGGGGCAGCAAGGCAUGUAUUGCAUCAUUGUCAUCGAGGAUAAAAAGAUGGGGUUUAUUUCAUAUUGCAUGAAUUUAUCUCUCUACAUCAUGUCAUCUUUCUUAAGGCGUUACUCUGUUUCUAACUUAAUACUCUAGAUGCAUGCUGGAUAGCGGUCGAUGAGUGGAGUAAUAGUAGUAGAUGCAGAAUCGUUUCGGUCUACUUGUCACGGACGUGAUGCCUAUAUACAUGAUCAUGCCUAGAUAUUCUCAUAACUAUUCUCAAUUAUGUCAAUUGCUCAACAGUAAUUUGUUCACCCACCGUAGAAUACUUAUGCUCUUGAGAGAAGCCACUAGUGAAACCUAUGCCCCCCGGGUCUAUUCUCAUCAUAUCAAUCUCCAUCACUUUAAUCUUGCUUUGCUUUUUUACUUUGCCUUUACUUUUUACUUUGCAUCUUUAUACCAAAAAUAUUAUAUCUAUCAUAUCUCACUCUCGUAAGUGACCGUGAAGGGAUUGACAACCCCUAAUCGUGUUGGUUGUGAUUAGCUAUCAUUUUGUGCAGAUACGAGGGACUUGAGCGUGGCCUCCUACUGGAUUGAUACCUUGGUUCUCAAAAACUAAGGGAAAUACUUACGCUACUCUGCUGCAUCAUCCCUUCCUCUUCGGGGAAAACCAACGCAAGCUCAAGACGUAGCAAGAAGGAUUUCUGGCGCCGUUGCCGGGGAGUCUAUGCAAAAAGUCAACAUACCAAGUACCCAUCACAAUUCCUAUCUCUCGCAUUACAUUAUUUUCCAUUUGCCUCUCAUUUUCCUCUCCCCCACUUCACCCUUGCCGUUUUAUUCACCCUCUCUCUCUAUCCUCCCUCUCUAUUUGCCUCUUUUGCCCGUUUGCUCUUGUCUACUCAUGUGCUAGUUUACUUGUUUGUCGCGAUGGCUCAACCGAGAUUUGGUGAUCUUCACCUUAAAAGGUUAGAGGACAUCGAAACCAACGUUAGGAAGUUUAUGGUUUUGCAAUUUGAGCAUAAUAAUUUCUUUAGAAACGAGCUUAAGGAACAAAAAAGUUUUAUGAGUUAUAUGGAUAAAGAGCUUGAUAAUAUGACUAAAGAAUUUGAUGGUAUAAGAUCCCAAAUUGCUCGUCUAGAAAAGAUGACUGCUGAAAUUUCGGAUAUGCAAGCCACCUUAGUUAAUAAGAUGGCUGCUAAACAGGAUACCUAUGAAUAUCAAGAUGAAGAUCUAAAAGUUAUUGAUGUGUCCCCUAUUAAAUCGUUGUUUUGCAAUAUGAAUCUUGAUGAAACUGAAUAUGAUCUUCCUUUACCUAGAAGGCAUUCUAAAAAUUUGGAGUAUUUAGAUCUUUAUGAUGAAAUUGAUGAAAGUGGGAUUGAAAGAAAUAAAAAUCUAGAUGUUGCUAAACCCACUAUAUUGAAUUUCAAGGAAUUUAAUUAUGAAAGUUGCUCUUUAAUUGAUUGUAUUUCCUUGUUGCAAUCCAUGCUAAAUUCUCCACAUGCUUAUAGUCAACAUAAAGCCUUCACCGAACAUACUGUUGAUGCCUUGAUGCAAUCUUAUGAAGAAAAACUUGAGUUGUAAGUUUCUAUCCCUAGAAAACUCUAUGAUGAGUGGGAACCAACUAUUAAAAUUAAAAUUAAAGAUCAUGAGUUUUAUGCUUUUGUGAUUUGGGUGCUAGUGUCUCUACUAUUCCCAAGACUUUGUGUGAUUUGCUAGAUUUCCAUAAUUUUGAUGAUUGCUCUCUAAACUUGCAUCUUGCGGAUUCCACUAUUAAGAAACCUAUGGGAAUGAUUAAUGAUGUUCUUAUAGUUGCAAAUAGGAAUUAUGUGCCAGUAGAUUUCAUUGUUCUUGAUAUAGAUUGCAAUCCUUCUUGCCCUAUUAUUCUUGGUAGACCUUUCCUUAGAACGGUUGGUGCGAUUACUGAUAUGAAGGAAGGGAAUAUUAGAUUUCAAUUUCCAUUAAAAAAGGGCAUGGAAAACUUUCCAAGAAAUAAAAUAAAAUUACCAUAUGAAACUAUAAUGAGAGUCACUUAUGGAUUGCCUACCAAAGAUGGCAAUACCUAGAUCUAUCCUCGCUUUUAUGCCUAGCUAGGGGCGUUAAACGAUAGCGCUUGUUGGGAGGCAAUCCAAUUUUAUUUUUAUUCCUUGAUUUUUUAUACUGCUUAGUAAUAAAUAAAUUAUUUAGCCUCUGUUUUGGUUGUGUUUUUUGUGUUUAAUUAGUGUUUGUGCCAAGUAGAACCGUUGGGAAGACUUGGGGAAAGUCUUGUUGAACUUGCUGUAAAAAACAGAAACUUUAGCGCUCACGAGAACUGCUGUAAUUUUUAUUUUAAGAGUUAUAUUUAGUUAAUUCUUUUUUAAGAUGAUUAAUAGAUAAAUUACUCACGACCAGAAAUUUAUUUUAGAAUUUUUGGGGUUCCAGAUCUUGCGCUAGCUACAGAUUACUACAGACUGUUCUGUUUUUGACAGAUUCUGUUUUUCGUGUGUUGUUUGCUUAUUUUGAUGAAUCUAUGGUUAGUAAAAUAGUUUAUAAUCCAUAGAGAAGUUGGAAUACAGUAAGUUUAACACCAAUAUAAAUAAAGAAUGAGUUCAUUACAGUACCUUUAAGUGGUCUUUUGUUUUCUUUCGCUAACGGAGCUCACGAGUUUUCUACUUUAAGUUUUGUGUUGUGAAGUUUUCAAGUUUUGGGUGAAUUCUUUUGAUGGAUUAUGGAACAAGGAGUGGCAAGAGCCUAAGCUUGGGGGUGCCCAUGGAACCCCCAAGAUAAUACAAGGACACAAAAAAGUCAAAGCUUGGGGAUGCGCCGGAAGGCAUCCCCUCUUUCGUCCACUUCCAUCGGUAAUUUACUUGGAGCUAUAUUUUUAUUCACCAACAUGAUAUGUGUUUUGCUUGGAGCGUCUUGUAUUAUUUGUGUCUUUGUGUCUUAGUAUGCCACAAUCAUCCUUGCUGUACACACCUUUUGAGAGAGCCAUACAUGAAUUAAAAUUUGAUAGAAUACUCUAUGUGCUUCACUUAUAUCUUUUGAGCUAAGUAGUUUUGCUCUGUGUGCUUCACUUAUAUCUUUUGAGCGUUAUAAUUUUGCUGUAUGUGCUUCACUUAUAUCUUUUAGAGCACGGUGGUGGAUUUGUUUUAAAGAAACUAUUGAUCUCUCAUGCUUCACUUAAAUUAUUUUGAGAGUCCCUUAAUAGCAUGGUAAUUUGCUUAAUAAUAAUAUGCUUCGUAUUCCAGAUUUGUGAAACUUUCUUUUGAGUGUGUUGAAUACUAAGAAAAGAUUGAAAAAUGAUAAUUGUUUUGAGAUAUGGAGGGGAUAAUAUUAAAGUCAUGCUAGUUGAGUAGUUGUGAAAUUGAGAAAUACUUAUGUUAAGGUUUGCAAGUCCCAUAGCAUGCACGUAUGGUGAACCAUUAUGUGAUGAAGUCGGAGCAUGAUUUAUUUAUUGAUUGUCUUCCUUAUGAGUGCCGGUCGGGGACGAGCAAUGGUCUUUUCCUACCAAUCUAUCCCCCUAGGAGCAUGCGCGUAAUACUUUGCUUUGAUAACUUCUAGAUUUUUUUCAAUAAGUAUAUGAGUUCUUUAUGACUAAUGUUGAGGCCAUGGAUUAUACGCACUCUCACCCUUCCACCUUUGCUAGCCUCUCUAAUACCGCGCACUUUUCGCCGGUAUCAUACACCCACCAUAUACCUUCCUCAAAACAGCCACCAUACCUACCUAUUAUGGCAUUUCCAUAGCCAUUCCGAGAUAUAUUGUCAUGCAACUUUCCAUCGUUCAGUUUAUCAUGACACAUUCAUCAUUGUCAUAUUGCAUAUCCCGGUACACCGCCGGAAGCAUUCAUAUAGAGUCAUAUUUUGUUCUAAGUAUUGAGUUGUAAGAAAAAUAAAAGUGUGAUGAUCAUCAUUAUUAGAGCAUUGUCCCAAGUGAGGAAAGAAUGAUGGAGACUAUGAUUCCCCCAUAAGUCGGGAUGAGACUCUGGACGAAAAAUAAAACAAUAAAUAAAAGAGGCCAAAGAAGCCCAAAUAAAAAAAGAGGCCAUAAAAAAGAGAAAAAGCCCAAAUAAAAAAAUAAAAAAAUGAGAGAAAAAGAGAGAAGGGACAAUGUUACUAUCCUUUUACCACACUUGUGCUUCAAAGUAGUACCAUGAUCUUCAUAGUAGAGAGUCUCUCAUGUUAUCACUUUCAUAUGCUAGUGGGAAUUUUUCAUUAUAGAACUUGGCUUGUAUAUUCCAAUGAUGGGCUUCCUCAAAUUGCCCUAGGUAUUCAUGAGCAAGCAAGUUGGAUGCACACCCACUUAGUUUCUUUUUGAGCUUUCUUACACUUAUAGCUCUAGUGCAUGCGUUGCAUGGCAAUCCCUACUCACUCACAUUGAUAUCUAUUGAUGGGCAUCUCCAUAGCCCGUUGAUACGCCUAGUUAAUGUGAGACUAUCUUCUCCUUUUUGUCUUCUCCACAACCACCAUUCUAUUCCACCUAUAGUGCUAUAUCCAUGGCUCACGCUCAUGUAUUGCGUGAAGAUUGAAAAAGUUUUGAAAAAGUUAGAGUAUGAAACAAUUGCUUGGCUUGUUGUCGGGGUUGUGCAUGAUUUAAAUAAUUCGUGUGGUGAAGAUAGAGCAUAGCCAGACUAUAUGAUUUUGUAGGGAUAAAUUUCUUUGGCCAUGUUAUUUCGAGAAGACAUAAUUGCUUUGUUAGUAUGCUUGAAGUAUUAUUAUUUUUAUGUUAAUAUAAACUUUUGUCUUGAAUCUUUCGAAUCUGAAUAUUCAUAUCACAAUUAAGAAGAUUUGCAUUGAAAUUAUGCCAAGUAGCACUCCGCAUCAAAAAUUCUCUUUUUAUCAUUUACCUACUCGAGGACGAGCAAGAGUUAAGCUUGGGGAUGCCUGAUACGUCUCCAACGUAUCUAUAAUUUUUGAUUGCUCCAUGCUAUAUUAUCUAUUGUUUUGGACUAUAUUGGGCUUUAUUUUCCACUUUUAUAUUAUUUUUGGGACUAACCUAUUAAUCGGAGGCCCAGCCCAGAAUUGAUGUUUUUUGCCUAUUUUAGUGUUUCGAAGAAAUGGAAUAUCAAACGGAGUCCAAACGGAAUAAAACCUUCGGGAACGUGAUUUUCUCACCGAACGUGAUCCAGGAGACUUGGACCCUACGCCAAGGCAUUAGAGAGGCGGUCACGAGGGUGGGCCCCCCCUAGGGCGUGCCCCCCUGCCUCGUGGACCCCUCGAUGCUCAACCGACGUACUUCUUCCUCCUAUAUAUACAUACGUACCCCCAAACGACCAGAUACGGAGCCAAAAACCUAAUUCCACCGUCGCAACUUUCUGUAUCCACGAGAUCCCAUCUUGGGGCCUGUCCCGGAGCUCCGCCGGAAGAGGGCCGUCAUCACGGAGGGCUUCUACAUCACCAUAGCCUCUCCGAUGAAGUGUGAGUAGUUUACCUUAGACCUUUGGGUCCAUAGUUAGUAGCUAGAUGGCUUCUUCUCUCUUUUUGGAUCUCAAUACAAAGUUCUCCCCCUCUCUUGUGGAGAUCUAUUCGAUGUAAUCUUCUUUUUGUGGUGUGUUUGUUGAGACUGAUGAAUUGUUGGUUUAUGAUCAAGUCUAUCUAUGAAUAAUAUUUGAAUCUUCUCUGAAUUCUUUUAUGUAUGAUUGGUUAUUUUUGCAAGUCUCUUCAAAUUAUCCGUUUGGUUUGGCCAACUAGAUUGGUAGUUCUUGCCAUGGGAGAAGUGCUUAGCUUUGGGUUCGAUCUUGCGGUGUCCUUUCCCAGUGACAGAAGGGGCAGCAAGGCACGUAUUGCAUCGUUGCCAUCGAGGAUAACAAGAUGAGGUUUAUUUCAUAUUGCAUGAAUUUAUCUCUCUACAUCAUGUCAUCUUGCUUAAGGCGUUACUCUGUUUCUAACUUAAUACUCUAGAUGCAUGCUAGAUAGCGGUCGAUGAGUGGAGUAAUAGUAGUAGAUGCAGAAUCGUUUCGGUCUACUUGUCACGGACGUGAUGCCUAUAUACAUGAUCAUGCCUAGAUAUUCUCAUAACUAUGCUCAAUUUUGUCAAUUGCUCAAUAGUAAUUUGUUCACCCACCGUAGAAUACUUAUGCUCUUGAGAUGGCCCCGGGUCUAUUCUCAUCAUAUCAAUCUCCAUCACUUUAAUCUUUCUUUGCUUUUUACUUUGCCUUUACUUUUUACUUUGCAUCUUUAUACCAAAAAUAUUAUAUCUAUCAGAUCUCACUCUCGUAAGUGACCGUGAAGGUAUUGACAACCCCUAAUCGCGUUGGUUGCGAGUAGCUAUCGUUUUGUGCAGAUACGAGGGACUUGAGCGUGGCCUCCUACUAGAUUGAUACCUUAGUUCUCAAAAACUGAGGGAAAUACUUACGCUACUCUGCUGCAUCAUCCCUUCCUCUUCGGGGAAAACCAACGCAAGCUCAAGACGUAGCACUUCGCCAGGGGCUUGGCCCUGAGCAACCACUCGUCUUUGCCUUCGGCGGCGGUACUGGAGUAGUCCGGAAGGAGAGUCCUUCCCUUCUUGGACCUUUUGGCCCCCUCGGUUGGGGCGGCCUUCCUUUUCUUCUCUCCCCCGACUGGAGGGGGAGCAUCUUCAUCUUCCUCGUCUUCAGGGGAGGAGUGCGUCGCGGAGUUAUCGGACGAUGAGUCCGAUACCACCUGGCGUCGGGAACUCUUUCGGGUUCCCUUGGCCUUCUUGGUCUUCUCCGGCACCUUGUAAGGAGCCGGAGUCAGCAUCUCCGUCAAGAGAGCAUCCGCAGUGUCUUCAGGCAGAGGGGCCGGAUAGUUAAUCUGCCCCGACGUCUCCACCCAGUCCUGUCAAAGGCAUGGAGCUCAGACCCCGCACAUGGUUAAGCUAGGAGAAAUAAAUAUCCUACCAAAUGUAUAGAACUCACCGAAUGUGCUAGGCGCUUCGCGCUUAGCCUGCGGUCCUCGGUAAGAGAGGGAGGGACCUCGGCACCCUUGAACAGCACCCUCCAGAUGUCCUUGUGCGUUGUGUCGAAGAGCUCGCUCAGAGUCUGGUGUUGGGCUAGGUCGAACUCCCACAAGUUGAAAUCCCGUUGUUGACACGGGAGGAUCCGGCGGAAGAGCAUGACCUGGACUAUGUUGACAAGCUUGAGCUUCUUGCUUGCCAUAUUCCGGAUACAUUUCUAGAUUCCAUUCAGCUCCACCGAUGAACACCAGGAUAGGCCCUUCUCUUUCCAGGAGGUGAGCCGCGUGGGGAUUCUGGAUCGAAACUCAGGGGCAGCCACCCAGUUGGUGUCGCGCGGCUCGGUGAUGUAGAACCACGCCGAUUGCCACCCCUUUAUGGUCUCCACGAAGGAGCCUUCAAGCCAUAUAAUAUUGGGCAUCUUGCCCACCAUGGCUCCGUCGCAUUCUGCUUGUUGGCCUCCCACCACCUUCGUCUUGAUAUUGAAGGUCUUCAACCACAGGCCGAAGUGGGGCCGGAUGCGGAGGAAAGCCUCACACACGACGAUGAACGCCGAAAUGUUGAGGAUGAAGUUUGGGUCUAGAUCAUGAAAGUCCAGCCCGUAGUAGAACAUAAGACCACGGACGAAUAGAUGGAGGGGAAACCCUAGUCCGCAGAGUAAGUGGUGGAGGAAGACUACCCUCUCAUGAGGUUCCGGGGUGGGGACGAUCUGCCCCGCAGCGGGCAGCCGAUGCGCGAUAUUCGCGGCUAAGUAUCUGGCUCCGCGCAUCUUCUUGAUGUGUCCCUCCAUAAUGGAGGAAGCCAUCCAUUUGCCUCCCGCUCCGGACAUGUUUGGAGAAGGUUGAGGGGAAGGAUGUAGACUUGGGCGUUGGAGCUCGAGCGCGCAAGAAUGGAUGAGCAAGGAGGAAGAAGGCAUGGGUAGAGAAAGGUUAAACAUUAUCCCCUUAUAAGGGCGGCCGAAAUUAUGCGCCCUGCUAGCCUGGUAAAACUCGCUUAUCCCCCAAGUGCCGUAAUUGAUGGCGCGGUUGGGUUACCCACGCCCGUAUUGAUGAGAAUCCCGUAAUAAGGGGGACAUGAUCUCUGCUUUAACAAGACGUGUCAAGAAACUGCCUCGUGUUAUGUGCGGGCUGGUUAAAGGAAACGGUUCGAAUAAUCACCGGGCCAUGGCAUAAUGUCAUAUUGCCAAAACGUGUCAGCAGAUUAGAUUUGUGGAAAUAUUAUUCUCUCUACGGUGGUAUGUGGAACUUAUUUUGCAGGGUCGGACACUAUCCUUGUAUUCAAAUUUUUCCGUGGUGUAUUCGGAGGAGGAACCCGCCUUGCGAUGCCGAAGACAACACUGCGUGCCGGACUCGUCGUCAUUGAAGCCUGGUUUAGGGGCUACUGAGGGAGUCCUGGAUUAGGGGGUAUCCGGAUAGCCUGACUAUAUCCUUUGGCCGGACUGUUGGACUAUGAAGAUACAAGAUUGAAGACUUCAUCUCGUGUCCGGAUAGGACUCUACUUGGCGUGGAAGGCAAGCUAGGCGAUACGGAUAUGUAUAUCUCCUCCUUUGUAAUCGACCUUGUGUAACCCUAGCCCCCUCCGGUGUCUAUAUAAACCGGAGGGUUUUAGUCCGUAGGAUGACAUACAAUCAUACCAUAGGCUAGCUUCUAGGGUUUAGCCUCUCCGAUAUCGUGGUAGAUCAACUCUUGUAAUACUCAUAUCAUCAAGAAUAAAUCAAGCAGGACGUAGGGUUUUACCUCCAUCAAGAGGGCCCGAACCUGGGUAAAACAUCGUGUCCCCUGCCUCCUGUUACCAUCCGCCUUAGACGCACAGUUCGGGACCCCCUACCCGAGAUCCACCGGUUUUGACACUGACAGGAUGCCUUCCGGGGCAUCCCCAAGCUUAGACGCUUGAGUAUCCUUGAAUAUUUACUUGGGGUGCCUUGGGAAUACCCAAGCUUGAGCUCUUGCCUGUCCUUGUUCUCCUCAUAUCGAGACCUCCUCGAUCUUUGAUCACCUUAUCCACACAAAACUCAACAGGAAACUCGGUAAGAUCCGUUAGUAUAAUAAAGCAAAUCACUACUCUAAGUACUAUUGCAAACCAAAUCAUAUUUUGUUUUUGCAUUAUAGCUACUGUAAUAUAACCUUUUCAUGGCUUAUACCACCGAUAAAAAUUGAUGGUUUCAUCAAAACGAGCAAAACAAUGCAUCAAAAAUAGAAUCGGUCUUAAACAGGACAGUCUGUAGUAAUCUGAACAUUAACCAUACUUCUGGUACUCCAAAAAUUCUGAAAAAUAAACAUUUUGUAUAGAAAGACAGUGCAAAAAGUUUCAGAACCGUUUGACGUUCCAGUAAAAAUGUAAAAUCGCGCACUACAGCCAAAGUUUCUGUUUUGCACCGCACAAACCAACAAGCAAUGUAAACAUCCUAAAGGCAAAUCUUGGCACAUUAUUUUUAUAAUACAAUGGAAUUGUACAAGGGGAUUAUUAUUAUUUUUUAAAUUUUCUAUAAUUAAGAUUCGCAAAGUUUCCUUGAGCAUGAACAAAGUUCAAGGACGUCCCCCACUUUCACAAUGCUCAUCUAUCUCACUUUCACUUUUAUUUUUGUGAAGUUUUAAGUUCCCCUCUAUAUUUUUUUGUCUUUAAACUAUAUAAAAUCACUCAACAGAAAUAAAUGACUCUCUAAAACUUCCGGGUUGUCUCCCUGGCAGCGCUUUCUUUAAAGCCAUAAAGCUAGGCAUAAAGUGCUCAAGUAAUGGAUCCACCCGGAUCCCAAGGUAUAUCAAAGCCAAUUUGAAUUAACAAUGAUUUGGCAUUUAGUAGUGAGCACAAAGCAACAUAUAUCAAGCAAUGACGAAGUCUAACUCUCUUCCUAUGCAUCGGCAUGUCAUACAGGAACUAUUCAUGCACAUCAAGUAAAGGCCAAUACAUAGCAUAAGCAGUUUCUUGCAACUUUAUCGUGUUGGAAACAUAGAGAGGUGGAGAUAUAGUUCCUCUCUCCUAAUAAUUGCAAGUAGGAGAAGAAAGCACAUGCAUAUUAUAUUCAUUAAAAUCAUCAUGUUUAAUGGUAGAAUGCAACCCAUCAAUAUAAUCCUUAACAAGAGCAAACUUAUCUGAUAUAGUGUAGUUGGGAGAAUUCAAAAAGAUAAUAGGACUAUCAUGUGUGGGUGCAAUAGCAACAAUUUCAUGUUUAACAUAAGGAACAAUAGCAAGUUCAUCGCCAUAAGCAUAAUUUAAAUUGGCAUCAUGGCCACAAGCACAACAAGCAUCAUCAAAAAGGGAUAUUUCAAAUGAAUCAAUGGGAUCAUAGCAAUUAUCAUGGCAUUAAUCGUUUGAUAAGAACGAAGGAGCAUUAAACAAUGUAUGAGUUGGAGGGUUACUUUCAUUAGAAGGCAGGCACGGGUGAUCAAUCUGGUCUUCCUUCGCUUGUUCUUCGCUCUCCUCAUCAUCUUUUUCAUCCAAUGAGCUCAUAGUUUCAUCAAUUCCUUCUUCCAUAGACUCCUGCAAAAUAUUAGUCUCUUCUUGCACAGCGGAGACUUUCUCAAUAAAUGCAUCAAUAUCGGAAUUGUAUUUAUAAUUAUCAUAGAAAUAUUUAAGGAUAGCAAGAUUUUCAGGUCUAUAAACUGAAUCAUCAAAAUCUUCAAAAAAAUUAAACAAAGAUUCAAUUUCACAUGCACCCUUGAAAGCAACAAAUUCUUCUAUUCGUUCCACAUCAUAGUAAUCAUAUAUACCAUUAGCAAAAGAAGCCAAGGUUUCAUUAUCAUUAAAUUCACAUGAAAAGGGAAGAUGUGGAGCAUUCAUCCUAGAGCAACAAGUAUAAUCAUAUCUCUGGCAUAAAUCCCAAGCAUACCAAUUCAACAUAUGAAUUUGAUCCCAUAACAAUUUCCCUUUAUGAGUCAAGCGAUAAUCAUUAAAGUAUUCACGUUGAUCCAAUGUUACUCCCAUUAUCAAGUUGAAUGGGGUUUUCUCAGGAUUAUCAAAGUAGUGCAUAAUAUUUUCACAUAACGAGCAUCGAGGGUUUUAGGAGGUUCCCCAUCUCCAUGAGUAGCAAGUACCACUAAUUUUUUGGUGUUUUGUGUUCCAUAUCCAUAACUAAAGAUAGAGAACAACUUAGAACAGGAAAUAAAAACUACUUAGUGAUAAAGCAAACAAGCACACACGAGAAUAUUCACCCCACGCUAUGGCUCCCUGGCAACGGCGCCAGAAAAAGGUAUUGAUAACCCACAAGUAUAGGGGAUCAUUUGUAGCCUUUUUUUAUAAAUAAGAGUGUCAAACCCAACGAGGAGCUAAAGGUAGAACGAAUAUUCUCCCAAGUUCUAUCGGCCACCGAUACAACUCUACGCACGCUUGACGUUUGCUUUACCGGAAACAAGUACGAAACUAUUUUGUAGGAAUAAAUCUAUGAGUACUUUGCGGGAAUAAAACUACGGAUAAAUUGUAAGGUAAUAAAAGUGGAAAUCUUUUGUCAAUAAGAAAGUCAUUUGUCCCUAGGCAAUUGAUAACAAGUACCAGUAAUCAUUCUUGCAAUUUUAUAUGAGGGAGAGGCAUGAGCUCACAUACUUUAUCUACUUGGAUCAUAUGCACUUAUGAUUGGAACUCUAGCAAGCAUCCGCAACUACUAAAGAUCAUUAAAGUCGUGAAACCCAACCAUAGCAUUAAGUAUCAAGUCCUCUUUACUCCCAUACGCCAUAGCCCACCUAUUCGCGUUUAAGUUUUUGUCACUCUCGCAACACUGACAACAAGAAAACCAUGAACAUAUUGCAACACCCUACAGCGAGGGACCCUCACGUUUGCGCGAGAUGGAGGGCACCUUAGUAUAGCACCAUAAAUAAAAUAUACAAUCAUACCAACCAAGAUCAUGAUUAACCCACAUGACAAAACGGAUCUACUCAAACAUCAUAGGAUAACCAUAGAUCAUUGGGAAAUAAUAUAUGGAGUUGAGCACCAUGUUUAAGUAGAGAUUACAAUGGGGAGAAGAGAUGUUACACCGCUGCAAAGAGGGGGAGAGAGUUGGUGAUGACGGUAGCAAGAUUCUUGAUGUAGAUCGUCGUCCCGAUCGUUGUCCCGGUGGCACUCUGGCGCCACCGGAAGCGAGGGAGAGAGAGCCCCCCUACUUCUUCUUCUUCUUCCUUGGCCUCCUCCCUAGGUGGGAGAAGGAUUUCCCCUCUGGUCCUUGGCUCCCAUGGCACAAGAGGAGCGAGAGCCCCUCUGAGAUUGGAUCUCCCUCUUUGUUCUCUUCUGUUUUGCGUUCCCAGAUCUGGUCGAAAACCAUUUCUUAUAUUCCCGGAGAUCCGUAACUCCGAUUGUGCUGAGAUUUUAACAUGAUUUUUUUGGAUAUAAGCUUCCUUGUGCCCGAAGUAUAGGUCCAACCGAUGUACGAGGUGGGCACAACCCACCACCGUGCGCCAGGGGCCUCUGGCGCGCCCUGGUGUAUUGUGCCCUAUGUGGGCCUCCGUUUGCGGUGAUUCCAACUCCCAAAAAUCACAAAUAUUCCAAAAUAAUUCUCCGUAAAAUUUCAUUGCAUUUGGACUUCGUUUGAUAUGGAUACUCUGUGAUACAAAAAACAUGCAAAAAACAGGAACUGGCACUUGGGACUGGAUCAAUAGGUCAGUCCAAUAAAUCAUAUAAAAAGUUGCCAAAAGUAUGUAAGACUUGUAUAAUAUUGGCAUGAAACAAUCAAAUAUUAUAGAUAUGAUGGAGAUGUAUCAUGUCUCAACAUGAUGAACUGUCGCAACAGUGCAUACUCAGGGAGAACACUUAUACCUUGAAAUUUAGUUAAGGGGUCAUCUUAUAGUGCUACCACCGUACUAAGCAAAAUAAGAUGCAUAAAAGAUAAACAUCACAUGCAAUCAAAAUAUGUGACAUGAUAUGGCCAUCAUCAUCUUGUGCUUUUGAUCUCCAUCUCCAAAGCAUCGUCAUGAUCUCCAUUGUCACCGGCUCGACACCUUGAUCUUCAUCGUUGCGUCGUGGUCGUCUCACCAACUAUUGCUUCUACAACUAUCACUAACGCAUACUAAUAAAGUAAAACAAUUACAUGGCGUUUGCCUUUCAUACAAUAAAGAGAAAACCAUAAGGCUCCUGCCGGUUGCUGAUAACUUUUACGAAACAUGAUCAUCUCAUACAAUAACGUAUAUCACAUCAUGUAUUGACCAUAUCACAUCACAACAUGCCCUGCAAAAACAAGUUAGAUGUCCUCUACUUUGUUGUUGCAAGUUGUACAUGGCUGGUACGGGCUUCUAGCAAGAACCAUUCUUACCUACACAUCAAAACCACAAUGGUGUUUCGUCAAGAUUGCUGUUUUAACCUUCUUCAAGGACCGAAGUAGAAGAAAUAGACACCCGCCAGCCACCUUUAUGCAAAACUAGUUGCAUGUCUGUCAGUGGAACCGGUCUCAUGUGCGUGGACAUGUAAGGUUGGUCCGGACCGCUUCAGCCCACAAUACCACCUAAUCAAAAUAAGAGGUUGGUGGUAAGUAGUAUGACUAUCACCGCCCACAACUCUUUGUGUUCUACUCGUGCAUAUCAUCUACGCAUAGACAUGGCUCAUGAUGCCAGCAUUGGGAAACGUUGCAUGGAAAACAAAAAAAAAUAUACGCACACACAAUGAUCUAUCCAUGGAUAUGCAUAGCAACGAGGGGAAGAGUGAGUCUACGUACCCUCGUAGACCAUAAGCGGAAGUGUUUGACAAUGUCGUUGAUGUCGUCGUACUUCUUCUAGCUACGACCGAUCAAGUACCGAACGUACGGCACCUCCGAGUUCUGCACACGUUCAACUCGGUGACGUCCCUCACCUUCUUGAUCCAGCAAGACGUCGAGGUAGUAGAUGAGUUCCGUCAGCACAACGAUGUGGCGACGGUGAUGGUGAAGUGAUCCUCGCAGGGCUUCGCCUAAGCACUACGAAGAUAUGACCGUGGGAGUAAACGAUGGAGGGGGGCACCGCACACAGCUAAUAAUUGUCUGUGGUGUGCUAGGGGCGCCCCCCACAUAUAUAUAUAUAUAUAUAUGUGGGGGGGGGAGGGAGAGGGGAGGCAGCCAGGGUGCGCCCCAAGUAGGAUCCGAAUCCUACUUUGUGUUUCCCCAAGUGGCGCCCCCUGCCUUCUUUCACCGGAGAAGAAAGGGAGGGGAGAGAGAAAGGAAAGGGGGGGCGAACCCCCUUUUUCCUUCUCCCAAUUCGGCCUCCUGCCAUAGGGGGGCGUGCCACCCCUUGUGGGCUGGUGUGCUCCCCUCUCAUGGCCUAUAUGGCCCGUAUAUUCCCCCCGGGGGUUCCGGUAACCCCUUCGGUACUCCGAUAAAUACCCGAUACAAUCCGGAACACUUUCGGUGUCCGAAUACUAUCGUCCUAUAUAUCAAUCAUUACCUCUCGACCAUUUUGAGACUCCUCGUCAUGUCUGUGAUCUCAUCCGGGAUUCCGAACAACAUUCGGUCACCAAAUCAUAACUCAUAUAGUAUAAUGCCGUCAUUGAACGUUAAGCGUGCGGACCCUACGAGUUCGAGAACUAUGUAGACAUGACCGAGACACCUCUCUGGCCAAUAACCAAUAGUGGAACCUGGAUGCUCAUAUUGACUCCUACAUAUUCUACAAAGAUCUUUAUCGGUUGAACCGUUAUGACAACAUACGCAAUUCCCUUUGUCCAUCGGUAUGUUACUUGCCCGAGAUUCGAUCGUCGGUAUCUUCAUACCUAGUUCAAUCUCGUUACCGGCAAGUCUCUUUACUCGUUAUGUAAUACAUCACCUCAUGACUAACUCCUUAGUCAUUUGCUUGCAAGCUUAUGAUGUGUAUUACCGAGAGGGCCCAGAGAUACCUAUCCGAUACUUAGAGUGACAAAUCCUAAUAUCGAUCUAUACCAACUCAACAAACACCUUCAGAGAUACCUGUAGAGCAUCUUUAUAAUCACCCAGUUACAUUGUAAUGUUUGAUAGCACACAAGGCAUCCCUCCGGUAUCCGGGAGUUGCAUAAUCUCAUAGUAAAAGGAAUAUCUAUUUGACAUGAAGAAAGCAAUAGCAAUAAAACUGAACGAUCAGUAUGCUAAGUGAUACGUCUCCAACGUAUCUAUAAUUUUUUAUUGUUCCAUGCUAUAUUAUAUUCUGUUUCGGACAUUAUUGGGCUUUAUUAUACACUUUUAUAUUAUUUUUGGGACUAACCUAUUAAUCGAAGGCCCGGCCCAGAAUUGUUGUUUUUUGCCUAUUUCAGAGUUUCGCGGAAAAAGAAUAUCAAACAGAGUCCAUACGGAAUGAAACCGUCGGGAACGUGAUUUUUGGAACGAACGUGAUCCAGAGGACUUGGACCCUACGUCAAGAAAGCUACCAGGAAGGCACGAGGUAGGGGGGGCGCCUACCCCCCCCCCCAGGCGCGCCCUCCACCCUCGUGGGGCCCAUGUUGCUCCACCGACGUACUUCUUCCUCCUAUAUAUACCUACGUACCCCCAAACUACCAAAUACGGAGCAAAAAACAUAAUUCCACCGCCGCAACCUUCUGUACCCGUGAGAUCCCAUCUUGGGGCCUUUUCCGGAGCUCCGCCGGAGGGGGCAUCAAUCACGGAGGGCUUCUACAUCAACACCAUAGCCUCUCUGAUGAUGUGUGAGUAGUUUACCUCAGACCUUCGGGUCCAUAGUUAUUAGCUAGAUGGCUUCUUCUCUCUCUUUCGAUCUCAAUACAAAGUUCUCCAUGAUUCUCGUGGAGAUCUAUUCGAUGUAAUCUUCUUUUGCGGUGUGUUUGUUGAGACCGAUGAAUUGUGGGUUUAUGAUCAAAUUGAUCUAUGAACAAUAUUUGAAUCUUCUCUGAAUUCUUUUAUGUAUGAUUGGUUAUCUUUGCAAGUCUCUUCGAAUUAUCAGUUUGGUUUGCCUACUAGAUUGAUCUUUCUUGCAAUGGGAGAAGUUCUUAGCUUUGGGUUCAAUCUUGCGGUGUCCUUUCCCAGUGAAAGUAGGGGCAGCAAGGCACGUAUUGUAUUGUUGCCAUCGAGGAUAACAAGAUGGGGUUUAUAUCAUAUUGCAUGAGUUUAUCCCUCUACAUCAUGUCAUCUUACUUAAAGCGUUACUCUGUUCUUUUGAACUUAAUACUCUAGAUGCAUGCUGGAUAGUGGUCGAUGUGUGGAGUAAUAGUAGUAGAUGCAGGCAGGAGUCGGUCUACUUGUCUCAGAUGUGAUGCCUAUAUACAUGAUCAUACCUAGAUAUUCUCAUAACUAUGCUCAAUUCUGUCAAUUGCUCAACAGUAAUUUGUUUACCCACUAUAAUACAUAUGCUCUCGAGAGAAGCCACUAGUGAAACCUAUGGCCCCGGGGUCUAUUUUCCAUCAUAUUAAUCUCCCGUUAACAAGCUAUUUCCGGUGCCAUUUUUAUUUCGCUUUAUUUACUUUGCAUCUUUAUCAUAAAAAUACCAAAAAUAUUAUCUUAUCAUAUCUAUCAGAUCUCACUUUCAUAAGUGACCGUGAAGGGAUUGACAACCCCUUUAUUGCGUUGGUUGCGAGGAUUUUAUUUGUUUGUGUAGGUGCGAGGAACUCGUGCGUGGCCUCCUACUGGAUUGAUACCUUGGUUCUCAAAAACUGAGGGAAAUACUUACGCUACUUUGUUGCAUCACCCUUUCCUCUUCAAGGGAAAACCAAGGCAGUGCUCAAGAGGUAGCAAGAAGGAUUUCUGGCGCUGUUGCCGGGGAGUCUACGCAAAAGUCAAUAUACCAAGUACCCAUCACAAACCCUUAUCUCCCGCAUUACAUUAUUUGCCAUUUGCCUCUCGUUUUCCUCUCCCCCACUUCACCCUUGCCGUUUUAUUCGCCCUCUCUUUCCGUUCUCCUUCCUCCUUCUUUUUGCCCCUUGCACUUUCUGCCGUUAUGUCUGAAAUUGGGGAAAUUAUUGUUGAUAUGGACAAUAAUAAUAUCAUGGAAAAUUUUGAUGCUCCUGCUGAAGAACCCCCUAUCUUACAUACAAAAAAAAUUCUGAAUUGGUAGUGGUAAUAUUAUUGGAAAAGGAGUUAUCCAAGAUUUAUUUACUUGUACCGGUGCUUUGCCUUCUAUGGGUAGUUCUGUUCUUCAUAGAACUAGUAGUCUUGCGGACGCUAUCGCCAUGCUUGUAGUUGAACUUGAAAGACAAUUUAUGCACAUGCAUCCUUGCAUACAAAGGAUUUUACUAGAAUUUUCUAAUAUUGAGCAUUCUUCUGUUAAGCGUACCGCUACUAUCUUUUUGGCUCAUGAGUUUAGAUUUAUAAUAAAAGAGGCCAAAGAAAUCUUUACGCAUUAUAGGGUGCACGCUGGCAGUCCUCCCAUAGAGGCUAUUCUCUUUGAUCAAGAAGAAAUAAUGCGUUUUCAAUCUCUAGGCUAUGUUGCUUUCAAUGAAAAUCUUAGAAAGAGGGUUCCUACCAAUGUUCUAGUUGAUAGAAUUUCUGAACUUAAUAAUGAUUUGGCUAUUCGAAAUAAUGAGCUAGGAUAUUCUCUCAAGUAUAGGCUCACAAAAUUUUGUCAAAAGAAUGCUUAUAAUGAUGAAAUGGUUGUGCAAUAUGAAGGGCCGAAGGAGGAACCUAUACCUCCUAAAGUUGAUCUUGGGGACUUUUGUCCCAUUAAAUUUAGCACUUUUGAUUACUUUUGCUUUCCUCAAAGAAAACUUGCUGCUGAAUGUAGAGAAUAUGAAAUGAGUUUUAAUGAUCUAUCCUAUUAUUAUGGCGAUACCUAGAUCUAUCUUUGCUUUUAUGCCUAGCUAGGGGCGUUAAACGAUAGCGCUUGUUGGGAGGCAACCAAAUUGUAUUUUUAUUCCUUGCUUUUUGCUCCUGGUUAGUAAUAAAUAAUUUAUCUAGCAUCUGUUUUGGUUGUUUUUUUGUGUUUAAUUAGUGUUUGUGCCAAAUAGAACCGUUGGGAAGACUUGGGGAAAGUCUUUUUGAUCUUGCUGUAAAAAAACAGAAACUUUAGCGCUCACGAGAAUUGCUGCCAUUUUUAUUUGAAAAGUGAUAUUUAGUUAAUUAUUUUUUAAGAUGAUUAAUAGAUAAAUUUAUCACGUCCAGAAAUUUAUUUUAGAAUUUUUGGGGUUCCAGAAGUUUGCGUUAGCUACAUAUUACUACAGACUGUUCUAUUUCUGACAGAUUCUGUUUUUCGUGUGUUGUUUGCUUAUUUUGAUGAAUCUAUGGCUAGUAAAAUAGUUUAUAAACCAUAGAGAAGUUGGAAUACAGUAGGUUUACCACCAAUAUAAAUAAACAAUGAGUUCAUUACAGUACCUUGAAGUGGUGUUUUGUUUUCUUUCGCUAACGGAGCUCACGAGAUUUUCUAUUUUGAGUUUUGUGUUGUGAAGUUUUCAAGUUUUGGGUUAAGUUUUGAUGGAUUAUGGAAUAAGGAGUGGCAAGAGCCUAAGCUUGGGGAUUCCCAUGGCACCCCAAGGUAAAAUUCAAGGACACCCAAAAUCCUAAGCUUGGGGAUGCCCCGGAAGGCAUCCCCUCUUUCGUCUUCGUCUAUCGGUAACUUUACUUGGAGCUAUAUUUUUAUUCACCACAUGAUAUGUGUUUUGCUUGGAGUGUCUUGUAUGAUUUGAGUCUUUAUUUGUUAGUUUGCCACAAUCAUACUUGUUAUACACACCUUUUGAGAGAGACUCACAUGAUUUGAAAAUUAUUAGAAUACUCUAUGUGCUUCACUUAUAUCUUUUGAGUUAUAUAGUUUUUGCUCUAGUGCUUCACUUAUAUCUUUUAGAGCACGGUGGUGGAUUUGUUUUAUAGAAACUAUUGUUCUCUCAUGCUUCACUUAGAUUAUUUUGAGAGUCCUGCAAAACAGCGUGGUAGUUGCUUUAAUUAUGAUAGGCAUUCAAGAUUAGUAAAAAAAUCUUAUGAGUGUGUUGAAUACUAUGAGAAGUUUGAUACUUGAUAAUUGUUUUGAGAUAUGGAGAUGGUGAUCUUAGAGUCAUGCUAGUUGAGUAGUUGUGAAUUUUAGGAAUACUUGUGUUGAAGUUUGUGAUUCCCUUAGCAUGCACGUAUGGUGAACCGUUAUGUGACGAAAUCGGAGCAUGAUUUAUUUAUGAUUGUCUUCCUUAUGAGUGGCGGUCGGGGACGAGCGAUGGUCUUUUCCUACCAAUCUAUCCCCCUAGGAGCAUGCGUGUAAUACUUUGUUUCGAUAACUAAUAGAUUUUUGCAAUAAUUAUGUGAGUUCUUUAUGACUAAUGUUGAGUCCAUGGAUUAUAUGCACUCUCACCCUUCCAACAUUGCUAGCCUCUCUAAUACCGCACACUUUUCGCCGGUAUCAUACACCCACCAUAUACCUUCCUCAAAACAGCCACCAUACCUACCAAUCAUGGCAUUUCCAUAGCCAUUUUGAGAUAUAUAUAGCCAUACCCCCAUUUUAUGGAGAAUUAUUUUGGAAUAUUUGUGAUUUUACGGAGAAUUUUACGGAGCAACGUGGGCCCCACAAGGGUGGAGGGCGCGCCUGGGGGGUAGGCGCGCCCCCUACCUCGUGCCUUCCUGGUAGCUUUCUUGACGUAUGGUCCAAGUCCUAUGGAUUACGUUCGUUCCAAAAAUCACGUUCCCGAAGGUUUCAUUCCGUUUGAUAUUCUUUUUCUGCGAAACUCUGAAAUAGGCAAAAAACAGCAAUUCUGGGCUGGGCCUCCGGUUAAUAGGUUAGUCCCAAAAAUAAUAUAAAAGUGUAUAAUAAAGCCCAAUAAUGUCCAAAACAGAAUAUAAUAUAGCAUGGAACAAUCAAAAAUUAUAGAUACGUUGGAGACGUAUCAAGCAUCCCCAAGCUUAAUUCAUGCUCGUCCUCGAGUAGGUAAAUGAUAAAAACAGAUUUUUUGAUGUGGAAUGCUACUUGGCAUAAUUUCAAUGUAAUUCUCUUAGUUGUGGUAUGAAUAUUCAGAUCCGAAAUAUUCAAGACAAAAGUUUAAUAUUGACAUAAAAAUAAUAAUACUUCAAGCAUACUAACUAAGCAAUUAUGUCUUCUCAAAAUAACAUGGCCAAAGAAAGUUAUCCCUACAAAAUUAUAUAGUCUGGCUAUGCUCUAUCUUCACCACAUAAAGUAUUUAAAUCAUGCACAACCCCGAUGACAAGCCAAGCAAUUGUUUCAUACUUUUGGUGUUCUCAAACUUUUUCAAUCUUCACACAAUACAUGAGCGUGAGCCAUGGACAUAGCACUAUAUGUGGAAUAGAAUGGUGGUUGUGGAGAAGACAAAAAAGGAGAAGAUAGUCUCACAUCAAAUAGGCAUAUCAACGGGCUAUGGAGAUGCCCAUUAAUAGAUAUCAAUGUGAGUGAGUAGGGAUUGCCAUGCAACGGAUGCACUAGAGUUAUAAGUAUAUGAAAGCUCAACAAAAGGAACUAAGUGGGUGUGCAUCCAACUCGCUUGCUCAUGAAGACCUAGGGCAUUUUGAGGAAACCCAUCAUUGGAAUAUACAAGCCAAGUUCUAUAAUGAAAAAUCCCCACUAGUAUAUGAAAGUGAUAUCAUAGGAGACUCUCUAUCAUGAACAUCAUGGUGCUACUUUGAAGCACAAGUGUGGUAAAAGGAUAGUAGCAUUGUCCCUUCUCUCUUUUUCUCUCAUUUUUUUAUUUAGGCCUUUUCUCUUCUUUUUUUAUGGCCUCUCCAUUUUUUUGUCCGGAGUCUCAUCCCAACUUGUGGGGGAAUCAUAGUCUCCAUCAUCCUUUCCUCACUUGGGAGAAUGCUCUAAAAAUGAUGAUCAUCACACUUUUAUUUACUUACAACUCAACAAUUACAACUCAAUACUUAGAACAAAAUAUGACUCUAUGUGAAUGCCUCCGGCGGUAUACCGGGAUAUGCAAUGAAUCAAGAGUGACAUGUAUGAAAGAAUUGUGAACGGUGACUUUGCCACAAAUACAAUGUCAACUACAUGAUCAUGCAAAGCAAUAUGAUAAUGAUGGAGCGUGUCAUAGUAAACGGAAUGGUGGAAAGUUGCAUGGCAAUAUAUCUCGGAAUAGCUAUGGAAAUGCCAUGAUAGGUAGGUAUGGUGGCUGUUUUGAGGAAGGUAUAUGGUGGGUGUAUGAUACCGGCGAAAAGUGUGCGGUAUUAGAGAGGCUAGCAAUGUUGGAAGGGUGAGAGUGCGUAUAAUCCAUGGACUCAACAUUAGUCAUAAAGAACUCACAUAAUUAUUGCAAAAAUCUAUUAGUUAUCGAAACAAAGUAUUAUGUGCAUGCUCCUAGGGGGAUAGAAUUGUAGGAAAAGACCAUCGCUUGUCCACGACCGCCACUCAUAAGGAAGACAAUCAAUAAAUAAAUCAUACUCCGAUUUCGUCACAUAACGGUUCACCAUAUGUGCAUGCUACGGGAAUCACAAACUUCAACACAAGUAUUCCUAAAAUUCACAACUACUCAACUAUCAUGACUCUAAUAUCACCAUAUCCAUAUCUCAAAACAAUUAUCAAGUAUCAAACUUCUCGUAGUAUUCAACACACUCAUAAGAAUUUAUUUUUUACUAAUCUUGAAUGACUAUCAUAAUUAAAGCAAAUUACCAUGAUGUUUUGUAGGACUCUCAAAAUAAUAUAAGUGAAGCAUGAGAGAACAAUAGUUUGUAUAAAACAAAUCCACCACUGUGCUCUAAAAGAUAUAAGUGAAGCACUAGAGCAAAAACUGUAUAGCUCAAAAGAUAUAAGUGAAGCACAUAGAUUAUUCUAAUAAUUUUCAAAUCAUGUGAGUCUCUCUCAAAAGUUGUGUACAGAAAGGAUGAUUGUGGCAAAUUAACAAAUAAAGACUCAAAUAAUACAAGACGCUCCAAGCAAAACACAUAUCAUGUGGUGAAUAAAAAUAUAGCUCCAAGUAAAGUUACUGAUAGACGAAGACGAAAGAAUGGAUGCCUUCCGGGGCAUCCCCAAGCUUAGGGUUUUGGGUGUCCUUGAAUUUUACCUUUGGGUGCCAUGGGCAUCCCCAAGCUUAGGCUCUUGCCGCUCCUUGUUCCAUAAUCCAUCAAAACUUAACCCAAAACUUGAAAACUUCACAACACAAAACUCAAAAUAGAAAAUCUCGUGAGCUCCGUUAGCGAAAGAAAACAAAACACCACUUCAAGGUACUGUAAUGAACUCAUUCUUUAUUUAUAUUGGUUUUAAACCUACUGUAUUCCAACUUACCUAUGGUUUAUAAACUAUUUUACUAGCCAUAGAUUCAUCAAAAUAAGAAAACAACACAUGAAAAACAGAAUCUGUCAAAAACAGAACAGUCUGUAGUAAUAUGUAGCUAAAGGAAACUUCUGGAACCCCAAAAAUUCUAAAAUAAAUUUCUAGACGUGAGUAAUUUAUCUAUUAAUCAUCUGAAAAAAGAAUUAACUAAAUAUCACUUUCCAAAUAAAAAUGGCAGCAAUUCUCGUGAGCGCUAAAGUUUCUGUUUUUUACAGCAAGAUCAAAAAGACUUUCCCCAAGUCUUCCCAACGGUUCUACUUGUCACAAACACUAAUUAAACACAGAAAACACAACCAAAACAGAGGCUAGAUAAAUUAUUUAUUACUAACCAGGAGCAAAAAUCAAGGAAUAAAAAAUAAAAUUGGGUUGCCUCCCAACAAGCGCUAUCGUUUAACGCCCCUAGCUAGGCAUAAAAGCAAAUAUAGAUCUAGGUAUUCACAUCUUUGGUAGGCAAUCCAUAAGUGGCUCUCAUAAUAGAUUCAUAAGGUAAUUAUAUUUUCUUUCUAGGGAAGUGUUACAUGCCUUUCCUUAAUGGAAAUUGGAAUCUAAUAUUCCCUUCCUUCAUAUUAAUAAUUGCAUCAAUCGUUCUAAGGAAAGGUCUACCAAGAAUAAUAGGACAUGAAGGAUUGCAAUCUAUAUCAAGAACAAUAAAAUCUACGGGCACAUAAUUCCUAUUUGCAACAAUAAAAACAUCAUUAAUUCUUCCCAUAGGUUUCUUAAUGGUGGAAUCCGCAAGGUGCAAGUUUAAAGAGCAAUCAUCAAAAUCACGGAAACCUAGCAAAUCACACAAAGUCUUUGGAAUCGUGGAAACACUAGUACCCAAAUCACACAAAGCAUAGCAUUCAUGAUCUUUAAUUUUAAUUUUAAUAGUAGGUCCCACUCAUCAUAAAGUUUUCUAGGCAUAGAAACUUCCAACUCAAGUUUUUCUUCAUAAGAUUGCAUCAAAGCAUCAACGAUAUGUUUGGUAAAGGCUUUAUUUUGACUAUAAGCAUGUGGAGAAUUUAGCACGGAUUGCAACAAGGAAAUACAAUCUAUCAAAGAGCAAUUAUCAUAAUUAAAAUACUUGAAAUCCAAGAUAGUGGGUUCAUUAAUAUCUAGGGUUUUGAUCUCUUCAAUCCCACUUUUACCAAUUUUUGCAUCAAGAUCUAAAAACUCCGAAUUUUUGGAACGCCUUCUAGGUAAAGGUGGAUCAUAUUCAGUCCCAUUAUUAUAAAGAUUCAUAUUGCAAAACAGAGAUUUAAUAGGGGACACAUCAAUAACAUUUAGAUCUUCAUCUUUAUUUUCAUAGAAACAAGAAGAACACACUUUCACAAAACAAUCUUUCUUAGUACGCAUCCUAGCGGUUCUUUCUUUGCACUCAUCAAUGGAAAUUCUCAUGGCCUUGAGAGACUCAUUGAUAUCAUGCUUAGGUGGAAUAGAUCUAAGUUUCAAAGAAUCAACAUCAAGAGAAAUUCUAUCAACGUUCCUAGCCAAUUGAUCAACUUUAAGCAUUUUUUCUUCAAGCGAAGCAUUGAAAUUCUUUUGCGGAUUCAUAAACUCCUUAACACUAGUCUCAAAUUCAUAGGUCAUCUUAUUAAAAUUUCCAUAAGAAUUGUUGUAGGAAUUACCAUAAUUAUUAGAGGAAUUACUAGGAUACAGCCUAGGAUUAAAGUUUCCUCUAUACGCGUUGUUACCAAAAUUAUUCCUACCAAAAAAAUUCACAUCCAUAGAUUCAUUAUUAUUCUCAAUCAAAGCAGACAAAGGCAUAUCAUUAGGAUCAGAAGAAACACUUUUAUUAGCCAUCUUUCCACUCAAAACAUUAAUUUCUUCUAUCGCAUGCACUUUCUUAUUAGUAGAUCUUUCAGUGUGCCAUUGAGAAUAAUUAACCAUAAUAUUAUCUAGGAGUUUAGUAGCUUCUCCUAAAGUGAUUUCCAUAAAAGUGUCUCCUGAGGCCGAAUCUAAAAGAUUUCUAGAAGAAAAAUUCAAUCCAGCAUAAAAGUUUUGUAUAAUCAUCCACAAAUUCAAACCAUGUGUAGGGCAAUUACGUAUCAUUAAGUUCAUCCUGUCCCAAGAUUGUGCAACAUGUUCAUGAUCAAGUUGCUUAAAAUUCAUGAUAUCGUUUCUAAGAGAGAUGAUCUUAGCGGGAGGAAAAUACUUAGAGAUAAAAGCAUCUUUGCACUUAUUCCAAGAAUCAAUACUAUUUUUAGGCAAAGACGAAAACCAAGCUUUAGCACGAUCUCUAAGCGAAAAAGGAAAUAGCUUCAAUUUAACAAUAUCAUUGUCCACAUCUUUCUUCUUUUGCAUAUCACACAAGUCAACGAAUCUAUUAAGAUGGGUAGCGGCAUCUUCACUAGGAAGGUCGGUGAAUUGAUCUUUCAGGACAAGAUUCAACAAAGCAGCAUUAAUUUCACAAGAUUCGGUAUCGGUAAGAGGAGCAAUCGGAGUGCUAAGGAAAUCAUUGUUGUUGGUAUUAGUAAAGUCACACAAUUUGGUAUUAUCUUGAGCCAUCAUUACAAGCAAGCAAUCCAACACACGAGAAAACAAGAAGCGAGCGAAAAAGAGGCGAACAGAAAAGAGAGAGGGCGAAUAAAAUGGCAAGGGUGAAGUGGGGGAGAGGAAAACGAGAGGCAAAUGGCAAAUAAUGUAAUGUGGGAGAUAAGGGUUUGUGAUGGGUACUUGGUAUGUUGACUUUUGCGUAGACUCCCCGGCAACGGCGCCAGAAAUCCUUCUUGCUACCUCUUGAGCACUGCGUUGGUUUCCCUUGAAGAGGAAAGGGUGAUGCAGCAAAGUAGCGUAAGUAUUUCCCUCAGUUUUUGAGAACCAAGGUAUCAAUCCAGUAGGAGGCCACGCACGAGUCCCUCGCACCUACACAAACAAAUAAAAUCCUCACAACCAACACAAUAAAUGGGUUGUCAAUCCCUUCAUGGUCACUUACGAAAGUGAGAUCUGGUAGAUAUGAUAAGAUAAUAUUUUUUGUAUUUUUAUGAUAAAGAUGCAAAGUAAAUAAAGUGAAAUAAAAACGGCACCAGAAAUAGCUUGUUAACGGGAGAUUAAUAUGAUGGAAAAUAGACCCGGGGGGCAUAGGUUUCACUAGUGGCUUCUCUCGAGAGCAUAAGUAUUACGGUGGGUAAACAAAUUACUGUUGAGCUAUUGACAGAAUUGAGCAUAGUUAUGAGAAUAUCUAGGUAUGAUCAUGUAUAUAGGCAUCACGCCCAAGACAAGUAGACCGACUUUUGCCUGCAUCUACUACUAUUACUCCACACAUCGACCGCUAUCCAGCAUGCAUCUAGAGUAUUAAGUUCAAAAGAAUAGAGUAACACUUUAAGUAAGAUGACAUGAUCUAGAGGGAUAAACUCAUGCAAUAUGAUAUAAACCCCAUCUUGUUAUCCUCGAUGGCAACAAUACAAUAUGUGCCUUGCUGCCCCUACUGUCACUGGGAAAGGACACCGCAAGUUUGAACCCAAAGCUAAGCACUUCUCCCAUUGCAAGAAAGAUCAAUCUAGUAGGCCAAACCAAACUGAUAAUUCGAAGAGACUUGCAAAGAUAACCAAUCAUACAUAAAAGAAUUCAGAGAAGAUUCAAAUAGUGUUCAUAGAUCAACUUGAUCAUAAACCCACAAUUCAUCGGUCUCAACAAACACACCGCAAAAGAAGAUUACAUUGAAUAGAUCUCCACGAGAAUCAUGGAGAACUUUGUAUUGAGAUCCAAAGAGAGAGAAGCAGCCAUCUAGCUAAUAACUAUGGACCCGAAGGUCUAAGGUAAACUACUCACACAUCAUCGGAGAGGCUAUGGUGUUGAUGUAGAAGCCCUCCGUGAUCGAUGCCCCCUCCGGCGGAGCUCUGGAAAAGGCCCCAAGAUGGGAUCUCACGGGUACAGAAGGUUGCGGCGGUGGAAUUAGGUUUUUGGCUCCGUAUCCGGUAGUUUGGGGGUACGUAGGUAUAUAUAGGAGGAAGAAGUACGUCGGUGGUGUUGGGGAACGUAGUAAUUUCAAAAAAUUUCCUACGCACACGCAAGAUCAUGGUGAUGAUAUAGCAACGAGGGGAGAGUGUUGUCUACGUACCCUCGUAGACCGAAGCGGAAGCGUUGACUCAACGUAGAGGAAGUAGUUGUACGUCCUCCGGUUCAACCGAUCCAAGUACCGUUACUCCGGCACCUCCGAGUUCUUGACACGCGUACAGCUCGAUGACGCACCCUCGAUCUCCGAUCCAGCAGAGGCGCCGAGGGGGAGUUCCGUCAGCACGACGGCGUGGUGACGAUCUUGAUGUUCUCCUGUUGCAGGGCUUCGCCUAAGCACCGCUACAAUAUGACCGAGGUGUAAUAUCGUGGAGGGGGGCACCGCACACGGCUAAGGAACGAUCAAUGAUCAACUUGUGUGUUCUAGGGUGCCCCCCUACCCCCGUAUAUAAAGGAGGGAGGGAGGAGGUGGCCGGCCCUAGGGGGGUGCGCCAUGAGGAGGGGGAAACCUACUCCAAGUAGGUUUCCCUCUCUUUUCCUUAUCUUAUUUGGAGGGGGAAGGAAAGAGUACUAGUAUUAGGAAGUAGUACUAGUAGUAGUAAUAGGAAGAGGGGGAAGGAGAAAGGAAAGGGGGGCCGGCCCCCCUCCCCAAUUCGGAUUGGGCUUGGGGGCGCGCGCCCCCUUCCCUUGCUCCUUCUCUCUUCCUCCUACAUGGGCCCAAUAAGGCCCAUAUACCUCCCGGGGGGUUCCGGUAACCUUCCGGGGCUCCAAACUUCUCCGGAACCUUUCCGGUGUCCAAAUAUAUCCGUCCAAUAUAUCAAUCUUUAUGUCUCGACCAUUUCGAGACUCCUCGUCAUGUCCGUAAUCAUAUCCGGGACUCCGAACAACCUUCGGUACAUCAAAAUACAUAAACUCAUAAUAUAACUGUCAUCGAAACCUUAAGCGUGCGGACCCUACGGUUCGAGAACGAUGUAGACAUGACUGAGACACAUCUCUGGUCAAUAGCCAAUAGCGGGACCUGGAUGCCCAUAUUGGUUCCUACAUAUUCUACAAAGAUCUUUAUCGGUCAAACCGCAUAACAACAUACGGACUUGUUCCCUUUGUCAUCGGUAUGUUACUUGUCCGAGAUUCGAUCGUCGGUAUCCAAUACCUAGUUCAAUCUCGUUAUCGACAAGUCUCUUUACUCGUUCUUUAAUACUUCAUCUUAUAACUAACUCAUUAGUUACAUGCUUGCAAGGCUUAGGUGAUGAGUAUUGCCGAGAGGGCCCAGAGAUACCUCUCCGACAAUCGGAGUGACAAAACCUAAUCUCGAAUUAUGCUAACUCAACAUGUACCUUCGGAGACACCUGUAGUACUCCUUUAUAAUCACCCAGUUACGUUGUGACGUUUGGUAGUACCCAAAGUGUUCCUCCGGUAAACGGGAGUUACACAAUUCUCAUAGUUACAGGAACAUGUAUAAGUCAUGAAGGAAGCAAUAGCAGAAUACUAAACGAUCAAGUGCUAAGCUAACGGGAUGGGUCAUGUCAAUCACCUCAUUCUCCUAAUGAUGUGAUCCCAUUAAUCAAAUGACAACACAUGUCAAUGGUUAGGAAACAUAACCAUCUUUGAUUAAUGAGCUAGUCAAGUAGAGGCAUACUAGUGACUAUAUGUUUGUCUAUGUAUUCACACAUGUAUCAUGUUUCCGGUUAAUACAAUUCUAGCAUGAAUAAUAAACAUUUAUCAUGAUAUGAGGAAAUAAAUAAUAAAUUUAUUAUUGCCUCUAGGGCAUAUUUCCUUCAGUCUCCCACUUGCACUAGAGUCAAUAAUCUAGAUUACAUAGUAAUGAUUCUAACACCCAUGGAGUCUUGGUGCUGAUCAUGUUUUGCUUGUGAGAGAGGCUUAGUCAACGGGUCUGCAACAUUCAGAUCCGUAUGUAUCUUGCAAAUCUCUAUGUCUCCCACUUGGACUUGGUCCCGAAUGGAAUUGAAGCGUCUCUUGAUGUGCUUGGUCCUCUUGUGAAAUCUGGAUUCCUUUGCCAAGGCAAUUGCACCAGUAUUGUCACAGAAGAUCUUCAUUGGUCCCGAUGCACUAGGUAUGACACCUAGAUCGGAAAUGAACUCCUUCAUCCAGACUCCUUCAUUUGCUGCUUCAGAAGUAGCUAUGUACUCCGCUUCACAUGUAGAUCCUGCCACGAUGCUUUGUUUAGAACUGCACCAACUUACAGCUCCAUCGUUUAAUAAAAACACGUAUCCGGUCUGCGAUUUAGAAUCGUCCGGAUCAGUGUCAAAGCUUGCAUCGACGUAACCAUUUACGACUAGCUCUUUGUCACCUCCAUAUACGAGAAACAUAUCCUUAGUCCUUUUCAGGUAUUUCAGGAUGUUCUUGACCGCUGUCCAGUGAUCCACUCCUGGAUUACUUUGGUACCUACCUGCCAAGCUUAUUGCUAAGCAUACGUCAGGUCUGGUACACAGCAUUGCAUACAUGAUAGAGCCUAUGGCUGAAGCAUAGGGAACAUCUUUCAUUUUCUCUCUAUCUUCUGCUGUGGUCGGGCAUUGAGUUUGACUCAACUUCACACCUUGUAGCACAGGCAAGAAUCCUUUCUUUGCCUGAUCCAUUUUGAACUUUUUCAAAAUUUUGUCAAGGUAUGUACUUUGUGAAAGUCCUAUUAAGCGUCUUGAUCUAUCUCUAUAGAUCUUGAUGCCCAAUAUGUAAGCAGCUUCACCGAGGUCUUUCAUAGAAAAACUUUUAUUCAAGUAUCCCUUUAUGCUCUCCAGAAAUUCUAUAUCAUUUCCAAUUAAUAAUAUGUCAUCAACAUAUAAAACUAGAAAUGCUACAGAGCUCCCACUCACUUUCUUGUAAAUACAGGCUUCUCCAAAAGUCUGUACAAAGCCAUAUGCUUUGAUCACACUAUCAAAACGUUUAUUCCAACUCCGAGAUGCUUGCACCAGUCCAUAAAUGGAACGUUGGAGCUUGCACACUUUGUCAGCACCUUUUGGAUCAACAAAACCUUCAGGUUGCAUCAUAUACAACUCUUCUUCUAGAAAUCCAUUCAAGAAUGCAGUCUUGACAUCCAUUUGCCAAAUUUCAUAAUCAUGAAAUGCAGCAAUAGCCAACAUGAUUCAGACAGACUUAAGCAUCGCUACGGGUGAGAAAGUCUCAUCGUAGUCAACCCCUUGAACUUGUCGAAAACCUUUUGCAGCAAGUCGAGCUUUGUAGACAGUAACAUUACCAUCAGCGUCAGUCUUCUUCUUAAAGAUCCAUUUAUUCUCAAUGGCUUGCCGAUCAUCGGGCAAGUCAACCAAAGUCCAUACUUUGUUUUCAUACAUGGAUCCUAUCUCAGAUUUCAUGGCCUCUAGCCAUUUUGCGGAAUCUGGGCUCAUCAUCGCUUCCUCAUAGUUCGUAGGUUCAUCAUGGUCUAGGAACAUGACUUCCAGAAUAGGAUUUCCGUACCACUCUGGUGCGGAUCUUACUCUGGUAGACCUACGAGGUUCAGUAGAAACUUGAUCUGAAGUUUCAUGAUCAAUAUCAUUAGCUUCCUCACUAAUUGGUGUAGUUGUCACAGGAACCGGUUCUUGUGAUGAACUACUUUCCAAUAAGGGAGUAGAUAUAGUUAUCUCAUCAAGUUCUACUUUCCUCCCACUCACUUCUUUUGAGAGAAGCUCCUUCUCUAGAAAGGAUCCGAUUUUAGCAACGAAAAUCUUGCCUUCAGAUCUGUGAUAGAAGGUGUACCCAAUUGUCUCCUUUGGGUAUCCUAUGAAGACACAUUUCUCCGAUUUGGGUUCGAGCUUAUCUGGUUGAAGUUUCUUCACAUAAGCAUCGCAGCCCCAAACUUUGAGAAACGACAACUUUGGUUUCUUGCCAAACCACAGUUCAUAAGGCGUCGUCUCAACGGAUUUUGAUGGUGCCCUAUUUAACGUGAAUGCGGCCGUCUCUAAAGCAUAACCCCAAAACGAUAGCGGUAAAUCGGUAAGAGACAUCAUAGAUCGCACCAUAUCAAGUAAAGUACGAUUACGACGUUCGGACACACCAUUUCGCUGUGGUGUUCCAGGUGGCGUGAGUUGCGAAACUAUUCCACAUUGUUUCAAAUGUAAACCAAACUCGUAACUCAAAUAUUCUCCUCCAUGAUCAGAUCGUAGAAACUUUAUUUUCUUGUUACGAUGAUUUUCUACUUCACUCUGAAAUUCUUUGAACUUUUCAAAUGUUUCAGACUUGUGCUUCAUCAAGUAGAUAUACCCAUAUCUGCUCAAAUCAUCUGUGAAGGUGAGGAAAUAACGAUACCCGCCACGAGCCUCAACAUUCAUCGGACCACAUACAUCUGUAUGUAUGGUUUCCAAUAAAUCUGUUGCUCUCUCCAUAGAUCCGGAGAACGGUGUUUUUGUCAUCUUGCCCAUGAGGCACAGUUCGCAAGUACCAAGUGAUUCAUAAUCAAGUGAUUCCAGAAGUCCAUUAGUAUGGAGUUUCUUCAUGCGUUUUACACCGAUAUGACCUAAACGGCAGUGCCACAAAUAUGUUGCACUAUCAUUAUCAACUCUGCAUCUUUUGGCUUCAACAUUAUGAAUAUGUGUAUCACUACUAUCGAGAUUUAAUAAAAAUAGACCACUCUUCAAGGGUGCAUGACCAUAAAAGAUAUUACUCAUAUAAAUAGAACAACCAUUAUUCUCUGAUUUAAAUGAAUAACCGUCUCGCAUCAAACAAGAUCCAGAUAUAAUGUUCAUGCUCAACGCAGGCACCAAAUAACAAUUAUUCAGGUCUAAAACUAAUCCCGAUGGUAGAUGUAGAGGUAGCGUGCCUGCCGCGAUCACAUCGACUUUGGAACCAUUUCCCACGCGCAUCGUCACCUCGUCCUUAGCUAAUCUUCGCUUAAUCCGUAGUCCCUGUUUCGAGUUGCAAAUGUUAGCAACAGAACUAGUAUCAAAUACCCAGGUGCUACUGCGAGCAUUAGCAAGGUACACAUCAAUAACAUGUAUAUCACAUAUACCUUUGUUCACUUUGCCAUCCUUCUUAUCCGCCAAAUACUUGGGGCAGUUCCGCUUCCAGUGUCCAGUCUGCUUGCAGUAGAAGCACUCAGUUUCAGGCUUAGGUCCAGACUUGGGUUUCUUCACUUGAGCAGCAACUUGUUUGUCGUUCCUUUUGAAGUUCCCCUUCUUCUUCCCUUUGCCCCUUUUCUUGAAACCAGUGGUCUUGUUGACCAUCAACACUUGAUGCUCCUUUUUGAUUUCUACCUCCGCGGCUUUCAGCAUCGCGAAGAGCUCGAGAAUAGUCUUGUUCAUCCCUUGCAUAUUAUAGUUCAUCACAAAGCUCUUGUAUCUUGGUGGCAGUGAUUGGAGAAUUCUGUCAAUGACGCUAUCAUCCGGAAGAUUAACUCCCAGUUGAAUCAAGUGAUUAUUAUACCCAGACAUUUUGAGUAUAUGCUCACUGACAGAACUGUUCUCCUCCAUCUUGCAGCUGUAGAACUUAUUGGAGACUUCAUAUCUCUCAAUCCGGGCAUUUGCUUGAAAUAUUAACUUCAACUCCUGGAACAUCUCAUAUGCCCCAUGACGUUCAAAACGUCGUUGAAGACCCGGUUCUAAGCCGUAAAGCAUGGCACACUGAACUAUAGAGUAGUCAUCAGCUUUGCUCUGCCAGACGUUCUUAACGUUGUCAGUUGCAUCAGCAGCAGGCCUGGCACCCAGCGGUGCUUCCAGGACGUAACUCUUCUGUGCAGCAAUGAGGAUAAUCCUCAGGUUACGGACCCAGUCCGUGUAAUUGCUACCAUCAUCUUUCAACUUUGCUUUCUCAAGGAACGCAUUAAAAUUCAACGGAACAAUAGCACGAGCCAUCUAUCUACAAACAAACAUAGACAAGAAAAAUACUAUCAGGUACUAAGUUCAUGAUAAAUUUAAGUUCAAUUAAUCAUAUUACUAAAGAACUCCCACUUAGACAGACAUCUCUCUAGUCAUCUAAGUGAUUACGUGAUCCAAAUCAACUAAACCAUGUCCGAUCAUCACGUGAGAUGGAGUAGUUUCAAUGGUGAACAUCUCUAUGUUGAUCAUAUCUACUAUAUGAUUCACGCUCGACCUUUAGGUCCCCGUGUUCCGAGGCCAUAUCUGUAUAUGCUAGGCUCGUCAAGUAUAACCUGAGUAUUCCGCGUGUGCAACUGUUUUGCACCCGUUGUAUUUGAACGUAGAGCCUAUCACACCCGAUCAUCACGUGGUGUCUCAGCACGAAGAACUUUCGCAACGGUGCAUACUCAGGGAGAACACUUCUUGAUAAUUAGUGAGAGAUCAUCUUAAAAUGCUACCGUCAAUCAAAGCAAGAUAAGAUGCAUAAAGGAUAAACAUCACAUGCAAUCAAUAUAAGUGAUAUGAUAUGGCCAUCAUCAUCUUGUGCUUGUGAUCUCCAUCUUCGAAGCACCGUCGUGAUCACCAUCGUCACCGGCGUGACACCUUGAUCUCCAUUGUAGCAUCGUUGUCGUUACGCCAUCUAUUGCUUCUACGACUAUCGCUACCGCUUAGUGAUAAAGUAAAGCAAUUACAGGGCGUUUGCAUUUCAUACAAUAAAGCGACAACCAUAUGGCUCCUGCCAGUUGCCGAUAACUUCGGUUACAAAACAUGAUCAUCUCAUACAAUAAAAUAUAGCAUCAUGUCUUGGCCAUAUCACAUCACAACAUGCCCUGCAAAAACAAGUUAGACGUCCUCUACUUUGUUGUUGCAAAUUUUACGUGGCUGCUACGGGCUUAAGCAAGAACCAAUCUCACCUACGCAUCAAAACCACAACGAUAGUUUGUCAAAUAGACUCCGUUUUAACCUUCACAAGGACCGGGCGUAGCCACACUCGGUUCAACUAAAGUGAGAGAGACAGACACCCGCCAGCCACCUUUAAGCACGAGUGCUCGUAAUGGUGAAACCAGUCUCGCGUAAGCGUACGCGUAAUGUCGGUCCGGGCCGCUUCAUCUCACAAUACCGCUGAACCAAAGUAUGACAUGCUGGUAGGCAGUAUGACUUAUAUCGUCCACAACUUACUUGUGUUCUACUCGUGCAUAUAACAUCAACACAUAAAACCUAGGCUCGGAUGCCACUGUUGGGGAACGUAGUAAUUUCAAAAAAAUUCCUACGCACACGCAAGAUCAUGGUGAUGAUAUAGCAACGAGGGGAGAGUGUUGUCUACGUACCCUCGUAGACCGAAGCGGAAGCGUUGACUCAACGUAGAGGAAGUAGUCGUACGUCCUCCGGUUCAACCGAUCCAAGUACCGUUACUCCGGCACCUCCGAGUUCUUGACACGCGUACAGCUCGAUGACGCACCCUCGAUCUCCGAUCCAGCAGAGGCGCCGAGGGGGAGUUCCGUCAGCACGACGGCGUGGUGACGAUCUUGAUGUUCUCCUGUUGCAGGGCUUCGCCUAAGCACCGCUACAAUAUGACCGAGGUGUAAUAUCAUGGAGGGGGGCACCGCACACGGCUAAGGAACGAUCAAUGAUCAACUUGUGUGUUCUAGGGUGCCCCCCUACCCCCGUAUAUAAAGGAGGGAGGGAGGAGGUGGCCGGCCCUAGGGGGGCGCGCCAUGAGGAGGGGGAAACCUACUCCAAGUAGGUUUCCCUCUCUUUUCCUUAUCUUAUUUGGAGGGGGGAGGAAAGAGUACUAGUAUUAGGAAGUAGUACUAGUAGUAGUAAUAGGAAGAGGGGGAAGGAGAAAGGAAAGGGGGGGCCGGCCCCCCUGCCCAAUUCGGAUUGGGCUUGGGGGGGCGCACCCCCUUCCCUUGCUCCUUCUCUCUUCCUCCUACAUGGGCCCAAUAAGGCCCAUAUACCUCCCGGGGGGUUUCGGUAACCUUCCGGGGCUCCAAACUUCUCUGGAACCUUUCCGGUGUCCAAAUAUAUCCGUCCAAUAUAUCAAUCUUUAUGUCUCGACCAUUUCGAGACUCCUCGUCAUGUCUGUAAUCAUAUCCGGGACUCCGAACAACCUUCGGUACAUCAAAAGACAUAAACUCAUAAUAUAACUGUCAUCGAAACCUUAAGCGUGCGGACCCUACGGUUCGAGAACGAUGUAGACAUGACUGAGACACAUCUCUGGUCAAUAACCAAUAGCGGGACCUGGAUGCCCAUAUUGGUUCCUACAUAUUCUACGAAGAUCUUUAUCGGUCAAACCGCAUAACAACAUACGUUGUUCCCUUUGUCAUCGGUAUGUUACUUGUCCGAGAUUCGAUCGUCGGUAUCCAAUACCUAGUUCAAUCUCGUUAUCGACAAGUCUCUUUACUUGUUCUGUAAUACUUCAUCUUAUAACUAACUCAUUAGUUACAUGCUUGCAAGGCUUAGGUGAUGAGUAUUGCCGAGAGGGCCCAGAGAUACCUCUCCGACAAUCGGAGUGACAAAACCUAAUCUCGAAUUAUGCUAACUCAACAUGUACCUUCGGAGACACCUGUAGUACUCCUUUAUAAUCACCCAGUUACGUUGUGACGUUUGGUAGUACCCAAAGUGUUCCUCCGGUAAACGGGAGUUACACAAUUCUCAUAGUUACAGGAACAUGUAUAAGUCAUGAAGGAAGCAAUAGCAGAAUACUAAACGAUCAAGUGCUAAGCUAACGGGAUGGGUCAUGUCAAUCACCUCAUUCUCCUAAUGAUUUGAUCCCAUUAAUCAAAUGACAACACAUGUCAAUGGUUAGGAAACAUAACCAUCUUUGAUUAAUGAGCUAGUCAAGUAGAGGCAUACUAGUGACUAUAUGUUUGUCUAUGUAUUCACACAUGUAUCAUGUUUCCGGUUAAUACAAUUCUAGCAUGAAUAAUAAACAUUUAUCAUGAUAUGAGGAAAUAAAUAAUAACUUUAUUAUUGCCUCUAGGGCAUAUUUCCUUCAGGUGGAACAACGUGGGCCCCAUGAGGGUGGACGGCGCGCCUGGGGGGGGGGGGUAGGUGCGCCCCCUACCUCGUGCCUUCCUCGUAGCUUUCUUGACGUAUGGUCCAAGUCCUCUGGAUGACGUUCAUUCCAAGAAUCACGUUCCCGAAGGUCUCAUUCCGUUUGGACUCCGUUUGAUAUUCUUUUUCUGCGAAACUCUGGAAUAGGCAAAAAACAGCAAUUCUGGGCUGGGCCUCCGGUUAAUAGGUUAGUCCCAAAAAUAAUAUAAAAGUGUAUAAUAAAGCCCAAUAAUGUCCAAAACAGAAUAUAAUAUAGCAUGGAACAAUCAAAAAUUAUAGAUACAUUGGAGACAUAUCAAUAGCACCUCAAUGUACUAGUGUAGGUAGAAUGGAUCAGAAUAGGGAGAUAGUAUGAAGCCAACUAUGCAAUCAGAGAGAAUGUCUUCACACAGUGAAGUCAAACAGAGCAAACAAGCAAUGACUUCAGGAAGCUAAACAGUAAGUAAGGGUGAAGUUAUAGAACCAGUAGCUUGACGAAGACAGUGAUUUGGUAGACCAUCUCGAGUUGUUGUGACAACUAUACGUCUGGUUAGGGAGGCUAAGAUUGAACUCAAAAGACCACGUCUUCACCUUAUUCCCCUUGAGCUAAGGACACUUAGUCCUCGGCCAAUCACUCUGGUAAGUCUUCAAGGUAGACUUCCAAACCUUCACAGAUUUCGUUCACCAGCGAUCCACAAUGACUCUUGGAUCCUCAGAACAUGACGCCUGAUACGUCUCCAAUGUAUCUACUUUUUCUCACGCUUUUCCUCUUGUUUUGGACUCUAAUUUGCAUGAUUUGAAUGAAACUAACCCCGGACUGACAUUUUUUUAGCAAAACUACCAUGGUGUUGUUUUUGUGCAGAAAUAAAAAUUCUCGGAAUGGAACAAAUCUUUUUGAGGAAUUUUUAUAUCAGUAAUAAUAAUUUCUAGAGCCAAGACCUACCGGAGAGGGGCCCCUGGGUGGGCACAACCCACCAGGGCGCGCCCCCCUCUCCUGGCCCCACUGACGACCCCCCUGAUACUAUAAAAUCACAUAUUUCCAUAAAAAACCAGGGAGAAAGAAUUAUCGCGAUCCAUGAGACGGAGCCGCCGCCAAGCCCUGUUCUUCCUCGGGAGGGCAGAUCUGGAGUCUGUUGGGGGCUCCGAAGAGGGGGAUCUUCGUUCUUCGUCAUCACCAACCCUUCUCCAUCGCCAAUUCCAUGAUGCUCCCCACCACGAGUGAGUAAUUCCUUUGUAGGCUCGCUGGUCGGUGAGGAGUUGGAUGAGAUUCAUCAUGUAAUUGAGUUAGUUUUGUUAGGGCCUGAUCCCUAGUAUCCACUAUGUUCCUAGAUUGAUGUUGCUAUGACUUUGCCAUGCUUAAUGCUUUCCACUUUGGGCCCGGGUGCCAUGAUUUCAGAUCUGAACCAUUUAUGAAUUCAUCAUUAUAUCCAUGUUCUAGAUCCGAUCUUGCAAGUUAUAGUCACCUACUACGUGUUAUGUGUUGGGGAACGUAGUAAUUUCAAAAAAAUUCCUACGCACACGCAAGAUCAUGGUGAUGCAUAGCAACAGGAGGGGAGAGUGUUGUCCACGUACCCUCGUAGACCGAAAGCGGAAGCGUUAGCACAACGCGGUUGAUGUAGUCGUACGUCUUCACGAUCCGACCGAUCAAGUACCGAACGCACGGCACCUCCGAGUCCAGCACACGUUCAGCCCGAUGACGUCCCUCGAACUCCGAUCCAGCCGAGUGUUGAGGGAGAGUUUCGUCAGCACGACGGCGUGGUGACGAUGAUGAUGUUCUACUGACGCAGGGCUUCGCCUAAGUACCGCUACAGUAUUAUCGAGGUGGACUAUGGUGGAGGGGGGCACCGCACAUGGCUAAAAGAUCAAAUCAGUUGUUGUGUCUAUGGGGUGCCCUCCUGCACUUGUAUAUAAAGGAGCAAGGGGGAGGUGCGUCCGGCCAGGAGGAGGUGCGCCAGGAGGAGUCCUACUCCCACCGGGAGUAGGACUCCCUCCCUUCCUUGUUGUCUUAGGAGAAGGGGGGAAAGAGGAGGGAGAGAGGAAGGAAAAGGGGGGCGCCGCGCCCCUCUCCUUGUCCUAUUCGGACUAGAGGGGGAGGGGCGCACGGCCCUGCCCUAGCCGCCUCUCCUCUUCUCCACGAAGGCCCACUAUGGCCCAUUAAGCCCCCGGGGGGUUCUGGUAACCCCUCGGUACUCCGGUAAAAUCCUGAUUUCACGCGGAACAUUUCCGAUAUCCAAAUAUAGGCUUCCAAUAUAUCAAUCUUCAUGUCUCGACCAUUUCGAGACUCCUCGUCAUGUCCGUGAUCACAUCCGGGACUCCGAACAACCUUCGGUACAUCAAAACUCAUAAACUCAUAAUAUAACCGUCAUCGAAACUUUAAGCGUGCGGACCCUACGGGUUUGAGAACUAUGUAGAUAUGACCGAGACACGUCUCCGGUCAAUAACCAAUAGCGGAACCUGGAUGCUCAUAUUGGCUCCCACAUAUUCUACGAAGAUCUUUAUCAGUCAGACCGCAUAACAACAUACGUUGUUCCCUUUGUCAUCGGUAUGUUACUUGCCCGAGAUUCGAUCGUCGGUAUCUCAAUACCUAGUUCAAUCCCGUUACUGGCAAGUCUCCUUACUCGUUCCGUAAUACAUCAUCCCGCAACUAACUCAUUAGUUGCAAUGCUUGCAAGGCUUAAGUGAUGUGUAUUACCGAGUGGGCCCAGAGAUACCUCUCCGACAAUCAGAGUGACAAAUCCUAAUCUCGAAAUACGCCAACCCAACAAGUACCUUCGGAGACACCUGUAGAGCACCUUUAUAAUCACCCAGUUACGUUGUGAUGUUUGGUAGCACACAAAGUGUUCCUCCGAUAAAUGGGAGUUGCAUAAUCUCAUAGUCAUAGGGACAUGUAUAAGUCAUGAAGAAAGCAAUAGCAACAUACUAAACGAUCGAGUUCUAAGCUAACGGAAUGGGUCAAGUCAAUCACAUCAUUCUCCUAAUGAUGUGAUCCCGUUAAUCAAAUGACAACUCAUGUCUAUGGCUAGGAAACAUAACCAUCUUUGAUCAACGAGCUAGUCAAGUAGAGGCAUACUAGUGACACUCUGUUUGUCUAUGUGUUCACACAAAUAUUAUGUUUCCGGUUAAUACAAUUCUAGCAUGAAUAAUAAACAUUUAUCAUGAUAUAAGGAAACUUUAUUAUUGCCUCUAGGGCAUAUUUCCUUCAGUAUGAUCCGGCAACCCAGGUGUGACAAUAACCGGGCCCACUCCCGGUGAUGACCGUAGUUUGAGGAGUUCAUGUAUUCACUAUGUGUUAAUGCUCUGUUCCAGUUCUCUAUUAAAAGGAGGCCUUAAUAUCCCUUAGUUUCCAAUAUGGACCCUGCUGCCACGGGAGGGUAGGACAAAAGAUGUCAUGCAAGUUCUUUUAAUAAAGCACGUAUGACUACUUACGGAAUACAUUCCUACAUUAUAUCGAUGAACUGGAGCUAGUGCCUUAUCACCCUAGGUUAUAACUGUCUCAUGAUGAAUAUCAUCCAACAAGUCACCGAUCCAAUGCCUAUGAACUUUUCCAUAUCGUUUCUUCUAAGUUACUACUGCUAUCAUCAUUGUUACACUUGCUACAAAAUUAUUGUUACUAUUGUUGUUGUCACUACUAUCAAAACUAUGAAACUACUUUGCUACUGGUCACUUUCCUGCAGAUAAUUAAUCUCCAUGUGUGAUUGAAUUGACAACUCAGCUACUAAUACCUUCGAAUAUUAUUUGGCUCCCCUUGUGUCGAAUCUAUAAAUUUGGGUUGAAUACUUUACGCUCGAAAACUGUUGCAAUCACCUAUACUUGUGGGUUAUCAACGCCUAACUGGCUGGAGGAUGCACAGUCCUCAAAUAUAAUAAGUCUUCAGAUCACUCAGACAGAAAGACUUCAGUGAUGCGAAACACUCUUUGGCUCUGGGUGUUUUGGGCAUUUUCCUCGCAAGGUUUAUCUCUCAAAGGCUUCAGAGGUGGGUUGCUCUCAAACGACAAAAUUCGUGCACUAACUCUGAGCAGCCACCAAUUUCUGGUGUAUGGGGUGGGCUAUUUUUAGCCAGGAGGCAAACCGACCUGAUAUGUCUGAAAUGACCCUGGUUCACUAAGGAACCGACACGUGUCCAACGGUCGGAUUUCAAACACACACGGUAGCUUGACUUGGGCUACAAGUAAAGCUGACUCAUCCAACUAUGGAUAAGCUUUGAUCUCAUUGUCUUCGCUCGAAAACAUAGGAUUUGGGUUGAGCAUCAUGUCACUCUUCCGACUUUGUUCACCUGGACCCCACUUAACAGUUCGGUGGUUCCUAUGACUCAACAAAAAAUAAAAUGAAACUACAAAAGAAAUUAUGUCUCCGCACUCCAUAGUCUUCAAGUGAAUGUAUUCACACGUCAUUAUCUUCAAUGUGAAUGUCUUCAUGAACCACCAUUGUCUUUAAUGUCUUCAUACAUUUUUAGGGGUCGUCACUGAUAGGUAAACUGAAUCAAUGAGAGACUUCUACAUGUGUUAUCCUGCAAUUGUCACAAACACAUUAGUCCCUCAACCACGUUUGUUGUCAAUACUCCAAAACCAACUAGGGGUGGUACUAGAUGCACUUACACAACUCAAUAUGAUCGUUCUUCCAACGUCAUGUUCUCAAAGUUGUUUUUGGACUAUCAUUACACUUAACGAUAUCCCAAGAUCCAGAAAACGUGAUCACAAACGACACUUGAGCUAGUCCUAGAGGUAAUACUAGGAAUCAGGUUUUACCGUUUAUCAUUCUACACAUGCAUAUGAGUUUUCUAUUGAAUCACAUAUUCCAUGAUCAUAAUAAUUAUAACAUAGAAUAUAAACUCUUAAUUAUAACUGUGGAAAUAAAUAAUACAAUAUUAUUGCCUCUAGGGCAUAUUUCCAACAGACGAGCAUGGCAGACGACUAGGACUUGGACAUUGUGGCGGACGCGGAACACGUCUCCUUCCCCCACCCUGGUAGAAGGCAUGCAUGAAGACGGUGUCGACGAUAGCCAUGAUGAAGAAGACACUCAGGAUGCGCAGUGAUCUCUCAUGGCGGGGCGUUGCGUAGACUAUGGUAGCGGCUACGGGCAGGGGAGCUCCCCUUCCUUGUGUCUGUUGGCUGAUGUGGGUGAUCGCGGUGGCGUGCGCCGUGACGACAUUCAUGCUGACGGUGGGCGGCUGUGCGAGCGAGAUGCGUGGAAAGAUGUCGCACCCAUCUGCUAGUGCAAUUUCGGCCUAGUGUGGAGUAUAGGGUCCGUGACUGCCGGAGAUCCAUCUUCAACAUGAUGAUUGGAACACCACUUCAUGUCCAGGGUGAAAGCUCUUAUUCUGCCUUUGAUUGGUUGGAGUUGCGACAAAUUUGCGGUGUUAUCUUCUUGAAGGCAUUGUCUCCUCGCUGAAGUUCUAACCUUCGUUGUUUGGUCUCGACAAAGAGGAUGACAUCCUUGUCUUUGACGUUUUCGUCCGGACGUGGCGACGGGGCACGAAUGGCGCUUAUUCCUUCUUGAACGUGUUGUCGCAAAAAAAAAGUGUCAUAUGUGUCCAUUUCAUUUAUCUUGUAAUUGUUUAGCCGUUGUUGCCUUUGUUCGGUACCCUAAUUAAUAUAAUAAUUAAUAAAUAUGACUGUGUGCAUCAUAAUGAUAUAAAGACAGGAGGUUAAUUUUUUUUUUUGAAAAAAGGACCAUAUUGCUCUUCUUUUUUUAAAGUAUGAGGAAUGUGUAUAGUGUCAAAAAUACUUUUAUAUGGAACAGAGAGAGUAGCUUGUUACCCUUAGGUAGCUGGUGUAGAAUGAAAGCCACGAAAAUAAAGGGAAAACAGGGCACACACCAACCCUGCACAUGUUGUGUGCAACAUGGUUUCUUUAUUCCGGGCUUUCUCUUCGUUUGAAGCAUUGUGCUAUGUGCAUUUGGGAGCUCCCUAAAUAACACUGUAUAUAAACAACACACACAGACACAGACUGAGAGACAGACAAGAGUCGCACACCAGAGAGCACGGAGGGAGAAGACCGACAGCGGCAGUGGCCAGCUAGUCAGGGAAGGCCAGCCAUGGCGAGCGGGCCGAACGGGGGAGGCAAUGGCGGCGGCGGCGGCGGCGGGCUGAUGAAGAACAUGAGCCUGCUGCGGCUGCAGUACUACUGCGUGCUGGGCGCGGUGGCCGGGGCCGUCCUGUUCGCCACGCUCCGCUACAUGCCGGCCGCCGGCAGCGGCGCGGCCCUCUCCACCACCUCCGCGCUCGCCACCGCCGCGGCGCCCGCCGGGUCCGGGGCCGGGGCGGGCGAGCACCGGAAGAUCAAGGGGACGGCGCCGGCGCCGGCGAAGGCGGCGGCCAAGGUGGUGACGAAGCCCAAGGAGGUGGUGGUGUUCAACUUCGGCGACUCCAACUCGGACACGGGCGGGGUGGCGGCGAUAAUGGGGAUCCGCAUCUCGGCGCCGGAGGGGCGCGCCUACUUCCACCACCCCACCGGGCGGCUCUCCGACGGCCGCGUCGUCCUCGACUUCAUCUGUGAGUACCCCCCGCGUUCCCCUCUCCUCUCCUCUCUCACCGUCACUUCAGGCAAAGUAGAAAUUGAUUAGAUUAACCAAGUGUUAGUAAUUUAAAUACUCCUACGAGUAGUACUGUUUUUUUUCUCUCGAGGGAAUUUACUACCAGCGCUAGUAGAUCAAUCCACCGAAUGUCUUGUCGGAUUGCGUAAUCUAUCUCCAAUAUGCUUGGCCGCAUUGGGAAUCGAUUGUGGGGAGGAAGAGGGCGCGUUUGAACUGAAAAUUGCUAACAAGGUUGGUGGAAGAAUUGGAAAUCAUGGUUAAUCGCUGGCAUUUGAAUUGAAAAUAAUUUCCCUUUCAUUAAUAUUUGAUUGAUUUUUCUUGACCGUCGUUGGAGCUCAUAACCAUGGUGUGUGACCUGCCAUCAGCUGAAAAAACACGAACGCGGUCCGACGGGUACACUGUUUUCGCCUUCCCCGCCAUGCCGUGUGAAAGUUUUGGCGGCCAAAUCGUGACCUGACCUCCAUCCAUCUACAUCUGCCCAGCUAGCAUGCCGUCGCAUUUCUUCCAGGCCACCGAAUCAACGUGGUCUGGCGGAUUCCGUUGGUUUUUGACGCGUUCGGCUUGACGCCAAAACCUGGGCGAGACGCGUCUCUCCGCCGCUCUUGUCCCGUUUCCAUGAGAAACCAGGCGCAUGGGCCACGGCCACCGCGGGGAGGUAGAUCCACCCCCGAAUUGAUGGCCAACCAACGUUUUCGUGUGAUGGCGGUUGACGCCAAAGACCAAAGUCCAUACGUCUGUCUGUCCGUUCGGUCUGGCAACCACAGAUGAUGCGCACUGACCGACCUCUCUGGCCGUGGCCGGAAAGGAGGAAAGAAAAGCGAGCCGCUUGUGUGGGAACACGGAAUCUCAUGCCAGGUUUUGAAGCAUCCUCGUGCAUGCGGCCGUUGUCGAAUGCCAACCACCCCGCACUAAUCUAAAUCAACUUACGUAGGUUUAGCUUUCGUUGAAAGAAAGGAAAAGAAAUGAGAUCGUAGGAGUAGAUCAGUUAAGCAGAAGGGUGGCAUGCAUAUCCAUCCAGCCAUCCAACCAGUGGUUGGUGAAGGCGCCGCGCUGGCCGCUGGAUCCGAUCGCACGACGCCGACAGCUCCUCUGCCUGCCCGGCCGGGUUCGUCUCGUCUCGUCACGCACACACGCGCACCUGAGCUUACUCAUCUUAAGCAUCAGGAGUGAGUGGGUGACCACAGUAUGCAGUAGUACUACUGCACGUUUUCGGCGGAGUGUAAUGCGACGACGACGAGGGUGAGUCGAAUUUCUCGUCGUGGAUGACAUGACGUAGCUAGCUAGGACCUGGACGACGAGGUGGGUGUGGUGGAGCGUGGCACCGGCACGGAGCGAGUUGGCUGGGAAUGCCUAGCGAGCAAGGGAGGAGCGACCUGACGUAGCUAGCUGCAGCAACUCCUCACCCACUCCUGAGUCCUCACUCCUCUUUUUUUUAUUUAAAAAACACCCAAAAAAUCACAUGCUGCGCUAGCGCUAGCAUCACAUGGCUCGAUCGACCGAACCACCGGCGGCUACCUCUGCCCAUCUUUUAGCCACCUUUUUGGUCGUUCCCUGCACAUGGCCACCGGCCACGUAGUAAUAGUAAUUUUCUGCUCCGUAUUACGCGCUUUGAUCCCGUGGUGCUCAGACCGACAUCUCUCCCUUUGAGUGGAUGCUGGGGCCCAAUCCCGCACAAGGAAGGGAAAUCGAGUUGAGUUGCACCUUCUUCCGUUCGAGUUUUCGAGAGAGAAUCAAUGUCCCGGCCGGCCGGUCCCCAUAUGAUCAUAUCGUACACGUCGGAGCGAUAGAUCCCCACAAGGCCGCACAACAAGAGAUCCGCACCGACGCAACAAUUUCCUAGCAGUACUGUAAUACGUUUGUCCUUGUGGUUGUUGGUUGGACGAACAAGCGCUCGAGUCUUCCAGGCCUCCCGCAUUCAUGCCGCGCCAUCCUCGCUCACCCACAAGACGGAUGACAGGCCAGAGGUUUCGGAUCCAUCCAGACGGUUCCCCUCUUCUAGUUUCCGACUAGCUAGUUUUUCUUUUUCGCGAAUACGCAAAGCGUGCGUGUCUUCUGUUGACAAAAGAAGAGGAUAAAGACAAGUGUGGGUGCUAUGGACGAGGCGUGCCGUGCUUUUGACUCUCUUCGCUGCUGUGAAGUUGUGCUGUGGAACUUGUUGAUCGGAGGGCUUGCGAUGAACGGCCAUGCUGACCGUGCACUCGAGUUGUUCCAAAGGAUGCUCGGAAACGGUUUUCUGCCAAAUCAGCCAACGUUCGUUGCUGCUUUAUGCGCGUGCACCCACACUGGCCGUGCCGACCAAGGGAGGAGAAUUUUCCAGUCGAUGCGGCACCACAGGGUCGAGCCACAGACAGAGCACUAUGGGUGCCUAGCCGAUCUCCUUGGGCGUGCAAGUCGUGUUGAGGAGGCUGAUACCGUGUUGUUGGAUAUGCCAACGGAGCCACAUGCAUCCCAAUGGGGGUGCGCUCAUGUCGUCGUGCCGGAUGCAUAAUGAUAUCACUGUCGGCGAACGUGUAGGGAAGCAGCUCAUUGAGCUAGAGCCACAACAUGGUGGAUGUUAUGCUGUUCUGUACUUCUGUUCAACUUGUAUGCAGUCAAUGGUCGAUGGGAUGAUGCGAGAGCCAUUCGGCAUAUGAUGGUCGAGAAGGGAGCCAAGAAAGGGGCGGGUUUGAGCUUCAUGGAGUGAAAUGGCUGGUUCCAUCCCUGGACAAGGCAGAUCUAUGCACUGUCGGAAGAUACUACUAUCUCUUGUGAGUGCAAGAGCAAGACGAGGGAUCUGCUUCAAUGUCUGACAGAAGUAGCUUCUCUGUCAACUGGUGUGGUGAGGCUAUCUAUGGCAGUUUCAUGUUCUCCAGUGGCAAGAACACAAGCUAGCCACGGGAACCCCAUCAAAAUUUUUCUGCACAUGUUAGUGUUUAUGCUUCUGCUCCACUUGCUCCCUGCAGCGACUGCUGGUACUGUUCAAGUGCAUCUUAUUCUUGCCAAAAAGCAAAAAAGAAAAAAAACUACGAAAAAAAACACUGCACCUGUAAAAUGCCAAAAGCAUGAAAGAAUUAAGAAGGAUUAAACAUAAGAGUACCACUCACGGCAAAAAUGCCUUGCAGUUUACUGCUCCUGUACUAUGCAAGUCAACACUAUCGUGUGGACUCGAUCAAACGCCUCUCGACUUUGAGCUCAACAGCUCACCUGCAUAACAUAUAUGGAUGGAGAAUCUUUUUCAUAGAGCACAAGUGGAAGGAUAAACAACACAUGUCCUGCCCCAUACGUGUGUUUUUUUACUGUUUUUUUCCAUUGGGAUGCGGAACAUUUGCAGAAAUAAAUCCGAAUUUUUCAGUUUUCGAUGCUUCACUUGGCUGACAGUUUAACGGUUUGCUCUGCCAUUUCCUCUUCUUCAGGUGAGACCUUGAACACGCACCACCUGAGCCCCUACAUGAAGCCGCUGGGUUCCGACUACAGCAACGGCGUUAACUUCGCCAUCGCCGGAGCCACCGCGACGCCAGGGGACACGCCGUUCUCACUGGACGUGCAGAUCGAUCAGUUCAUCUUCUACAGGGACAGGUGCAACGACUCCAUCACAAGAGGUUUGCUCCCUCUCGAUCUGACCAAGGUUUCUGGUUUCUUUGACGCACCGUCUCAACUGACAAACUUGUUGGUUAUUUCCUGGUGAAUGUCAUUCAGAUGAGCCCGCCCCGCUCAACAUGCUGGAUUUCGAACGAGCUUUGUACACCAUGGACAUUGGGCAGAACGACAUCACUUCCAUUCUCUACUUGCCCUACGACGAAGUGCUCGCAAAGCUUCCCCACUUCGUUGCCGAAAUCAGGAAAGCCAUCGAGGUACAUACACAUGGUUCAGAGACGGAUUUCCGUAAAUUCUGAAACAGUGGUUAAUUACUCUGUGCAACGACCGUUGAGUGUUCGACCCUUGCGAAACUGCAGAUUCUGCAUAAGAACGGGGCAAGGAAGUUCUGGAUACACGGGACAGGCGCGCUGGGAUGCCUGCCGGCGAAGCUGGCGAUGCCGAGGGCCAGCGACGGCGACCUCGACGAGCACGGGUGCAUCGCCAAGUUCAACAAUGCCGCCAAGAGGUUCAACACGUUGCUGAGCGAGGCCUGCGACGACCUGCGGUUGCUGCUGAAGAAAUCGUCCAUCAUCUUCGUGGACAUGUUCGCGAUCAAGUACGAUCUCGUCGCCAACCACACCAAACACGGUAAGUUAACGAUGCCAAUUCCACUUUGCCAACAAGCUGCAACGAGAUCAUCGUUCAGUAAUCGUUGUUCGUGAAUAUAAACUUGUGUUGGUUCCUGUCGAUUCUCAGGGAUCGAGAAGCCGUUGAUGACAUGCUGCGGCCACGGAGGGCCCCCUUACAACUACGACCCCAAGCAGAGCUGCAUGGGCGACAGCAUGGACCUGUGCAAGCUUGGCGACAAGUUCAUCAGCUGGGACGGGGUCCACUUCACCGACGCGGCCAACAGCAUCGUGGCCUCCAUGGCGAUCAGCGGCGAGUACUCCGUCCCUAGGAUGAAGCUCACCAGCUUGGUCAAGCCUGCCAAGUCCAAGGCCUCGUAAUGAUGCGUCGGUCCAGUGAGCCCAAUGCUUUGAGAUAUAGGAAUGAUGAAGGUGAAGGUACUAACAAAAACUAACCCCCAAUGCGAGUUCAUCGGAAGUCCUUAAUCGCAGACUCACAGCCGCCGUGAAAGAUGGGAUCUUCUUUUUCUUCUUUUCUUUUUCUUUUCCUUUAUGUAUAAUCGAAGUGUGCGUAUAUCAUAUCCUAGGGGUUAAGUUAAUGCAUAUGCAGGUUGUCUGUGGUUGUGUGCCAUAUAUGAACUUGUCUAAGAAAUUCUGAAUUUUGAUCAAUAAAUAUUAAAUAGAGAUGAGUAUUUAACAUGCUUUUGUCGUUUUUUAACUUGCAAAAAUGAAUGAUAUCUUAUCAUUUAGUGGCACAGAAGCUAAGCUAAAUAUCUUUCAGUUUUACUAAAGCACAUCUAGAUGUGCCAUAAGUAUUGCACAUCUAAUUCCUACAUCAUUGAUCUUAUAUUGAGAUUCGUGUGGAUAUUUUCUUUUUUCUUUUUCUCUUUGUGCUUGAUUCACUCACUUAGAUGUGCAAUAACUAGAACACAUCUAGAUGUGCCCUAAACACAUCCAAUAUCUUUUUACUUCUGAAGAUCUAAAGGAGAAGAACUCGCAUCAUUGAGACCGUGACACAUGGAAAGCAAACACUGAGAAAAAUCAAAUGAGGCACGGAAAUCCUUUUACAUGGAUACAAUUAGUCACUAAAAUUACGUUUUUUUUACGUUGUGACUGUGACGGAAGAGUAUUAUAUAAUACUCCCCCGUCUCGCUAUAUAAGAUGUUAUUACAUCUAAUGUACUCACACAUUAGAUGUAGUGACAUCUUAUAUUUUGGGAGGGGGUAGUUUGUUUUUGGGAGAUGGUAGAGGGGUGUCACCAUUCCUGGAGCAUAUCAUGGAGACAUGCAAAAAUUUCAACCGGUUUGUACAGACUACAGACUGGAAAUACAGGCAGAUCAGAUGCGUCCAAAGUUUCAGGUCUACAUGGAGCUCGGAGUCUCGGCCAUGGCUACCUAUUUUUCCUUUUCCUGCCCACUUUCUAGGCAAGGAAGAAGGAAGAACCCGUCUGGCUUGGUUUCGCAUUGGUCAGAGAAGUCAAAGCGCAAACAAGGUUCGAUCAAAUUACAACUCUGCCAAGGAAUACAUCCCAGCUGGUUCCAUCAUUCCAUUUCCAUGUAGUGAUCUACUCCCUCCGUUUCAAAAUAGAUGUAAUUAAUUAAUUAAUUAAUUAUGCAGUUUCCCCCUUCUAUUAGAAAAUAAUUAGGGUGCAGAACGGGGACCAACUGAGGUGCUGCUGCUAAGGACUAGAAACCACUAGGCUUUCUUUUUUGGAACAGAUCUGAACCGUAAACUUGUACAUUUGCAGUCACCAUUGGAAAGAAGAUUCUUGUGCCAGCCAGACCCCACCCCCUCCCUCACCCGCAUUUGCGAGUUUGAAAACGUCCAUGCGGCCGUCACUCGGCGGCUUCGUCAACACCCUCUCCCCACCUCUCCUCCAAUAAUCAUGUCGUUGCCAUCUACGCGAAGCCAAACCAGCAAUCACUUCCUGAAAUUUAACGGGUGUUUCUUUGAAUUUUACAAAGAUAUUUAACCAAACGCUUCACUGCCACUCUAAAACACUUGCUCGGUUCACAAAUUUAAGACGUUUUGGUUUUUCUGUGACUCGAAUUUAUAUAGACACGUUUUGCUGUGUUUGUUCACUCAAUUCAGUUCAUAUGCGGUUCAUGUUAAAAUGUUCAAAACAUCAUCUAUUUAUGGAGCAUGUGCAAUUGGUGGCUCCAUUUCAGUUCUCUAAACAUAACAACAUAAAAAAAUUGCAAUAAAAAAAUUAAUUUCAGAAGAUGCACUGUGAAAAAAAGGGGAAAGAAGAUCCCGCCAUAUAUACGCGUACGCGCGUAGACACUUUGCAGUGGAAACUUUCCACCCCUCGCGUCGUGAGAGAGACCGGGGCAAGGGAGCGAGAAGCCGAGAAGGAGCUGCGAGGGGCCAUCGAUGGCCAUGGCGGCGGGCGGGCCCAACGGCGGCGCGAAGGUGGUCAGCCUUCGCCUGCAGUACUACUGCGUGUUCGCGGCGGUGGGCGUGGCGGUCAUCGUGCUGUCGCUCACCUUCCUGUCGCCGUCCGCCAUGGGCGCCGUCCGCCAGAACCUCGGCACCGUCGUGGCCGUGGCCACGAAUUCCACCAGCGGCGACGAAGCGGCACGGGUGGUAGGAGGCGGGGAGGCGGUGGCCGCGGCCAAGGCGGAGCCGGAGAAGGAGAAGCCGAAGAAAGCGGAGCCGCCGGUGGUGCUGUUCAACUUCGGCGACUCCAACUCGGACACCGGCGGCGUGGCGGCGGCCGGGGGCAUCCACAUCAUGCCACCCGAGGGACGCACCUACUUCCGCCGCCCCACCGGCCGCCUCUCCGACGGCCGCGUCAUCAUCGACUUCAUCUGUGAGUUGCUCAACCACAACCCAUAUCCUCCGGCCCGUCAAUAAUUACCACAUCUCGCCAUUUGUCAACAAACCGAGUGCUCAAUUGUGAAUUCCAAAUUCCAGAUUACUUGUUUAUCAGCUGCUCGUCAUCAAUUUGAAAUUAUAAACCACUAUAGCAUAGCUGCAAAGAAACAUGGCUAAAUUGCACAUGAUCGUCUCAAGUGAAUUUCCUCCGAUCCUCGCCUCGCCGGAACCGACCCGUUCCCGUGAAAUUCCCGCCGAUCCACGGCGCACCGAGCAACCGGAACUCUGUACGUAGCCGGCUCGGUUGGUGGGUGGAUGGAUGGGUCAUGGGUGAUCUCGAGUAAUCUGGGUCAACAAGCUGGUCAUGUCGCCUUCAACGUGGAAGAGAUACUUAAAAAAAUAUCGGGUGCUGUCAAAACGGUGGUUGAAGCGGUAGUCGCGAGCAUGUGCUACCUAACCUAACAAUGGCUGAUUUCCCUCUCCUUUUUGUCCUUCUCGUCUCCAAUCGGGGGAGAGAAAGAAAGAAACCUAUCGUCUUGUAAUUUUGACCUGCUAGUCGUGGUUGGGUGUGGCUGGCCUGUAGAUGCCAACUGCUGGGUUAAGAAAGAGCAAUCUCCUUGCAUGAUCCAAUUUUUUGACAAGACCUGUUCUUUGUGCUUAGUUAUACUAGUUGUUUAUCUCUGUGGAGACAAAGAGGUUGGCAGGCCAAACAGGUGAAGAACAGAGGGUGAAGCUAUGCAACGUAGGCCAGCUUUGUUCGGCACAAAAGGUGUAGUAAAGCUACCUCGGUAAAACUAAAAAGAAUUAGGCACGGCGUUUAGCGCCUGAAUUAGCCACGGGCCAAGCACGGCUUUAUCUUAGUAGUAGAAUAUUGUACAUUCUGAAAGGGGAUUGGGCUAGUAGAUCUUAACCAAAGCGUGCAGAUGAUAUAGUAAUAAUUUUGAAACGGCCGCUCCAAUCACAGCCAUGCAGCUGAUGGUUACUUCUGUGGGUUCAUUUUUACACACCCAUGUGUUGUCUGUUCUGUCAGUUGCUGGGUCAACACAGUGACAUUGCGAUUAACGCCGUGAUCGGAACAUGACAUUGCAGUUAGGGUUUGAACACCCACCAGCCACAUCCCACAUGGUUUUCUUGUCCCAGUUUGUCUUCUUUAAUGGUUACUCUAUAUGCCAUGACGAUGCCAGCGUGCAAGGAAUCGUUCAAUUGCGAUUAAUUCAUGUUGCGUUAUGUUUGCUCGCGCGGUCAAACUUUAUCCACCUGUAGUGGAAAUGGGGGUGGGAUGUUUAAGAAUCAUUUCCGCCCACUUAUAAGUUCCGAUUCAGCCGCCUUAAUUAGUUUAUAAUAUUUGCUAUUACGGGCAAUUUGCAUGCCAUGAUCCUCUCAAGAAUGUGUCACCAUGUGAUGGUUCAUGGCUCUCACACUGUGUGCACAUGGACAGCAGUCCCAUCCAUGAUGCUAUUGCUCCCUGAGAUGCGUGAUAUGUGAUCUGUGCAUGCCCUCCAAGUUUUUGAGCGAAUUUAUAUCACAAUGCUAUUUAUUCCAGUAAAUAAUAAGUUUGGGUGAAGGUUAGUUUCAAAAAAAGUUUGGGUGAAGGCAUAGCGGUGACAUUAAAUCAGAAUAGAAAGCAUAUGUACUUUCAAUAUGUUUGUCAUGAAAGCUUCAACAUCCAAUUGAGGAUAUCAAGUACGUACAAUAAUAGGAGUUAUCACAUAGCCUGGAUAAGAUGGUUGAGAUACACAUGGUGGGGGGCACCUGUGAGUGCCUAUUGUUCCCUUGUGAUAAGAGCUAAGUUUCUGUAGCAUAUGGUUGUGACAGAUACAUUCGGUUGUGUGUAGGGACAUGGUUUGAUUAACGAGCUGUCCAAGAUAUUGUCCUUGGAUAAGGCUUUUUUUUCCGGCACUUACGAAAAUUCGGUAGAAGUAGGUCUGGAACUUCCUUUCAUAUGAACAAGCUGAGGCUUACUACAAAAUUACCUGUGUUCGAAAGCUGGAAAUUAGUCUUGCAUACUCAAUCCUUGGUAUCAUCUUUCCAGGCGCGAGUCUGAAGACGCAUGAGCUGAAUCCGUACCUGAAGGCAGUGGGCUCCGACUACAGCAACGGUGUCAACUUCGCCAUGGCCGGCUCCACGGUGUCCCACGGCGUCUCCCCCUACUCCCUCAAUGUCCAGGUCGACCAGUUCGUCUACUUCAAGCGCAGAUCCCUGGAGCUCAUCGAGCUAGGUUCGCCAUCCUUGUUGCCAUCACAUCUCACAGUUGCAACUUGCAGGAGAAUGAAGGAAUGUGUCUGACAAGAGUCGUUGCGUUCUUGCAGGACUGAAGGGCCCGGUGAGCAAGGAGGGCUUCGAGAACGCGCUCUACAUGAUGGACAUCGGCCACAACGACGUCGCCGGCGUGAUGCACACGCCGUCCGAUCAGUGGGACAAGAAGUUCAGACAGAUAGUCAGCGAGAUCGGCGACGCGAUCCGGGUAAAUUACGAUGCGCCGUCUGAAGAUGUUCUUAUUCUUACAAGCAAGCUGUUACGCUGACAGAAGUUAUUGUUGGCGACUGUGGUUUUCCAGAUCCUGUACGACAAUGGCGCGAGGAAGUUCUGGAUCCAUGGCACGGGCGCCCUGGGCUGCCUGCCGGCGCUGGUGGUGCAGGAGAAGGGUGGCGAGCACGACGCGCACGGCUGCCUCGCCAGCCACAACCGGGCGGCGCAGGCCUUCAACAAGAAGCUCAGCGACCUCUGCGACGAGGUGCGGCUGCGCCUCAAGGACGCCACCGUCGUCUACACCGACAUGUUCGCCAUCAAGUACGGCUUCGUCGCCAACCACACCAAAUACGGUAUGAACAAUUCAAUCAAAAAAUGCCAAUGGUAAGAAGUUGAGUCUCUGGGAAUUCUUCUCAUCGUCUUCUCGUUCUUCUCUUCAGGGAUUGAGUGGCCAUUGAUGGUGUGCUGCGGAAACGGCGGCCCGCCUUACAACUUCAUGCCGGGGAAGUUCGGCUGCGGCGAUCUCUGCGGGCCGGAGGAGAAGGUGCUGAGCUGGGACGGCGUGCACUUCACCGACUUCGGCAGCGGCCUUGCCGCCAAGCAUGCCAUGAGUGGCGAGUACUCCAAGCCCAGAGUAAAGCUGGCGAGCUUGCUCAAUGGUGGCUCCAAGAAGCCAUCAUCUGUGUCUUGAUGCUCAUCAAUCAACGAUUGAACCACGAACUUACUUUGGCCGGGUCUUACUUUAAAAAGAAUGGUUUCUUGACAAAAAGGAAAAAAGAAGAAGCUUCGAAUGGAUCAUGGAUGAGUGGAUAAUGGUGAAGAUCAAUCCAUACGAUGACCACGAUGGAUGAUGUGAGUGUUGUAAAGGUCGCAGCUGAUUGUUGGCUCCUUGUACACAAUAGGCAAAUAGCUCCCUCGGCUACAAGUAAAAAGUUGUCGAUAUUUUCUUUGCACUUUUGGAGUAUAAUGAUUUUGCUUUGUUGGUGUAUGUGUAUAGACAAUGUAUGUGGCGGCUGGGAUUUCACAGAGCUCAUGAAAAACGGUGAAUCAUAGAUUUAUUUGAUCUGUAAAAGAAGGUAAUACAAAAACUUCCAAGCAUAGGCACUUUUUUAUACAGAAUAUUGUAUUUCUAGCACAAAAUUUUCGUUUUGGAUUGUUUGAUUUGUAAAAUAGCAACCCAUAUGAAUUUUUUUGUAUCUAUUGUUUUCUAACUUUCAUAGGAUGAUCUCGACUCCGAGAUUCGUAUAUUGUCAUGCUGUAAUCAGACACACUUUGGUGCAAGCGCAAUCUCAUAGGGCUCAAGAAGACAUAGCAGUGCAAUUUUGUAUUUAUACUAACACAAUAGAAUCGCACACACAAACACUAUUUCUAUGAGCACCUUCAAGAUACUGAGCCGGCACACCAUCUUAAGAUUGACGAAGUCAUCACAAACGUGUCGUAGUCGACAUCUUCUCUCACUAAACGAACAUCGACGGAUAGCCUAAAAUUAAUCGAAGAAAAUGCAAGCCCUGAUAGGCUGGUUUCAUAACAAAAAAAUCUAACAUGUACUUUAUACAAUUCUUACAAUGUUUAGAAUCCUGUGAAUUGAAGAGGUCCUUUGAAUCUUCAAUCCACCAUCACUCAUUGUUUUUUCCUUGCUGUUUUAUUGUUUGUUAUCACUUUUUUUUGCUUAAGUUAAUCACUUUUUUUUGCACAUUGUUUGUUGUCACAUUCAAUCGUGUACACCACUGCUGUUCUGGAUUGGGCAUACAAUCAAGGAGAAAAACAUUGCAUGACAUUAACAAAGUGCAACAACAAAACAAUCAUUUAGUAUUCCUUCUUUUCCCCUCCCGCAAAGGCGACUAGGGUAAAGUCUUCCAUCCUUCAAUCUUUGCCGGUGAGCCCGCGAAUUCGCCUUCUCUCUGCCUGCCACUUCGACGGUCGAUGGCAGGGAGGGUAAUCACUGUGCCUCAGCUACAGUUUAGUACAUAGGUUAGGGUUUUAGUCAUCAUAUGUGCUACGCUAGGCAGAUGGCAACGCUUCGUCUUUAAGUUGGUCUUUAAGGCUGCGAUGUACGUCAGAAUGUAUUAGACAAAGCUCUCAUCAAGGCGACAAGGUUAGGGUUUCUCACCAUGCGUACAAGAUGGUGAAAUUUGGUGUGAGAUUGAUUCAAGGUUCAACAACAGACAACUGCGUCUCCAGGGCACUAGUAGGGCACAUGCAAGAACUCAGGCAGGUCCAACAUGUGAGGAAUCAUAACAGAACCAUGUCCUUUUCACAAACAAAAAAGGCCUUCUGCAUUGGAAGACAUGCUUCGAACCUCUAGGCCACACCAGGGUACAAGAGAAGAAGAAAGUAUGCUCUUUAGUACAGGAGAAAGUGUAAAUUUACCUAGGGCUAAUUAGUACGCUGUAUUCCAUCAUAGUGUCACUCCAAUCAAAAUCGACCUACUUGGUAUAUAAGCCAAAAUCACAUGAAAACGGGAUAUCACAAGCUGAUCUUCUUUGACAGAUGGUACACAGUUGUAUGUAAUUUUGGGCCUCUGUAAUCUGGACUUCAGAUACCGAAUGCU